AAAUCAGUUUUUAUUUGUAUUUCAACCAUGAAAUUUUGGCCGAUACCUUGUAUUGGGUUUUGCUGUGAGUCGUGAAAUGUGAAUUCUUAAAAAUACUAUCAGAUGCGUCUUGUAAUAUUGUACACAGCUUUGUUGACUUGUGUAUUUAUUUAGUUUUAGAUACAAAAAAGAAACUAACAGCUAUCUAAAUGGUUGAUCAUCACAAUUGAAAUUUUAGAAUCAUUGAACAUAUGCUUUCGCAUGACAAUAAAUAUUCAAACGCUGGUUACAACGAUUGGGUAGUAGAUGGUUAUGGAUGAAAAAAGUGAUGCCAAUUUUAUUACACCAUUUAGUAAUCCGUUACUUUUUUUAAAGAACAUUUCAAUCAACCUGUUAUUCUCAACAACAAAUAGACCUUCCUUAGUAAAUUAGUUAAUGAUACAUCAAACGUGGCUGUAGUUUGUAUAGGGAGACAUCAAAUAAGAUGGUUUCACACAUAUUAGCAGACACCAAUGACGAAUAAUGCAUAAAUGAAUAUACACCCAUACUUGAGAUGUGAUUAUUGGCUAACAAAUUGCACUGUUAAAAGUAUUAUUAGCGAUAUUGAAUAGAAUAUGCAAUACCUUUCUUUUUUAUAAAAAUUAUAAUAUAUUUUUCCAUCUAAAUUUCGCAAAACAAAAUGGUAGCAUAUAAAUACGGAAAUUGAGGAACAGAUAGGAUAAACAGUAAUCCAUUAUGAAUCAUUUGUGAAUUGUGGCAGCCCAGAAACCAUGUUAGGCCCAUUCAUUAAAGAUAAAAGGGCUGCUAUAAAUAAUAAAUCAAACCCUAGGGUUUUAUCAUUGCCAGUAGUAUUCAGCACAAACUUUACCAUCUAGGGUUCUGAAAGGCGCGGAGACAUUCGGAGUUUCUCUUUCUUCUGAACAAUGAGGGCUAAGGUAUGAGAUGCCCUGAGUUCUACUACGCUUAUACUAAUUUGAUUGUAUUUUUACUGUAAUAAAUAAUUAAGUUAUUCUAAUUUUUGGGUUACAGUGGAAGAAGAAGCGUAUGAGGAGAUUGAAGAGGAAGCGCCGAAAGAUGAGGCAGAGAUCUAAGUAAUCUCCUUUUUUUUUUCAGUUUGGCGUUUCUAGCUUUUCCUUUUUUAUUUAUUUAUUUAUAUCUAUGCUGCUUUCGAUUUCGUGAAUUUUGAUAUGUAGCACUACUUUGUUAUAUUUCAGAACUACAUUUUGUGGAUGAACUAUUUAAUCAGUUGAAUUUAUUGUCAUUAUUGAGUUUAACUUUUGUUCCUUACAUUCCCGAUUUUGCUUUGUUGGUGAUAUCAUCAUCAUAUAUAUGUAUCUGAAUUAUGACUGCGAUGAUUAAUUUUAUAUUUUGAUACCACUGUGAUUUGAUUUCUCCUAGAAAGCGGUCAUGUUUAGAAUUAUGACAAUUUUUUUUUGAAUAAGUUGUCUUUGCCGUGUCCUUUUUAAUGGAACUAGUAGAUGUGUUCAGUGUCCUCAGUGUGGACGAGAGUAUAUAGGAUAUUAAUCCUGUGCUUGGAUUAGGCUUUGUUCUCUUUUGAUCAAGAUGGAGCUGUGAAUUAUACUCUUUGUAAGAGACUUGUCAUACAUAUGGAAUUUGCUGCAUUUUUUAUUUUUCUGCAAGCAAAUUUAGAUUGAAGAUGAAUUUGCUUUAUGCUACUUUAGAUUUAGACCAAAAUUUGCUUCAUGCUACUUCUACAUUAGUGUUGAGUCAUUUCAGCAUUUGAGGGCACUAUCUUUAGAUGAAGAUUAGUUGUGGCCUAGUUAUUUUGCUCCUCUGAUCUUACAUGCUCUAAUAUAUUCCACUUUUUUUAUUUUGACAAUCAAAUAUGCCAAAGCUGGUAGCUUUUAAUAAUUUGAAUUCUACAUGUUUAUUGAUUAUUUAUAUUUUUAAUAUGUAACAUUCAUUAUUUCUGCCAUUAUUGGACAACUUUUCUCAAUGUAGAUUACUAUCUAUCUAAAUAAAAUACACGUAUUUUCUUGAGAUUUGUUUGCCAACUUGUCUAAUUUUAGUAGGAUUGUACUAUUUAGCGUCACCUUCUCGCCAAUUAAUAAAGAAAGAAGGGCAUGUAGAAUUAAGUUAAUCAUCAUAACCAAAGAAAAUGAAAUUAGACAUUUGAUCAAGUUGGUUGUAAAGUUAAUGAUUUUGUAUACCAUUAUUCUUCUUCUCUAAUAAAUAAUCAACAUAUAUAAAUUGGUAGGUUCCUUAGUUUUUUCAGUCAAUCAAGAAAGGGAAGUGGACAAUCCACUACUGGAAACGUAGUUUGACACGCCUUUGUGAUGACUCCGUAAUAUCAAAUAGAAAAAUCAAAUAAAAGGGUUUCUAGUUAUAAUAAUAAGUAGAUGCUAAUUAGUCCAAGUAAUAAUUAAACAAGAUGAAGUUUCCUUAUGCUCCCAAAUAUGGAGUAUGCACAUGCAAUUGAUUUAUGAACUGCGAUUAAGUGAACUUUAUAAGUUAGGUAAGCUCACCAAAUCUGUACUAAGCACCAUUAACAACAACUUUUGACAUCAUAAUGUUAUUUCUAUUAAAUUUGUUAGACAUGUGUAUGGAAAGGAUAAGGAAGUCGAUUGGUCGAAGAGAGAGAGAGAGAGAGAGAGUAGGGAAAGAAGCCAACUCACACAACACAACACAUUAUUUAUAUAAUAAUAAUAAUAAUAAUGUAUAGCAGCCAAAAAAAAAAAAAAAAAAUGGAAGUCAGUCUUUUGUUUGAUUCUAUGUCACACAGUGCAUAAGAAUAGCUCCCAAAGUCAAUCCCAUGCUAUAAAAAAUAAAAACAACGCAGGGCGGUGUGGCCCACAGUAAGCGCGUUGAAUACUCUUAUGUCUGUACAAAAUCCCCUUGUCUAUUAUUAUUACACAGAAAAACAUAUACAUAUUUUUGUUUUUUAAUCUUGGUACAACUCCUUCUUCCAACUAUUCCCUCUUUCUGUGUCUUCCCUAAAUCUCAAGUUAUUCAAUUCCAAGAAAGGCGUUGUUGUUGUUGAUGGAUUAUAUUCCCACAAUACAUUCAUCACUUAUGGGUGUUUCUUGCAACUUGCUACAAUUAUGAAAAUCCACCUCCUCUCUUCUCUUUUUUUCAUGUUCUUGUUCCAUCAAAUCUUGUCUUGUGUUAUUCUGGGUGUUUCUGGACAAUGCCUCAAUGAUCAAAGGUCUUUGUUGCUGCAGUUGAGGAACGACCUUGUCUUCAAUCCCGCCUUCUCCACCAAGCUUGUGCAAUGGAACCAGAGUGUUGACUGCUGCAAAUGGAAUGGCGUACUGUGCGAUACUAAUUCUGGAGGACGUGUCAUCUCUUUGGAAUUGGACAACGAGUCCAUUUCCGGUGGCAUCCAUAAUUCAACUGCUCUUUUCGGCCUUCGAUACCUUGAAAAGCUCAAUUUGGCAUUCAACAGCUUUGCAAGUAUUCCAAUUCCAAAGGGGCUUCAAAAUCUCACCAAUUUGGCGUACCUUAAUCUGUCGAAUGCUGGUUUUGGUGGGCAGGUUCCUGUUGAGAUUUCCACAAUGACUAGUUUGGUUAGUCUUGAUCUCUCCAACUUGUUUUCAGGCGCUGAUCCCAUUAAACUCGAGAAUCCUAAUUUGAGGACCCUUGUUCGGAAUCUUACAGGGCUCACUGAGCUUUAUCUUGAUAAUGUCAAUAUUUCAGCUCAAAAAAGUGACUGGGGUCUAGCCUUGUCUUCUUCUCUACCCAAAUUAACGAAUUUGAGCUUGCGCAGCUGUCUUCUUUCCGGCCCUUUGGAUUCUUCUCUUUCGCACCUUCAUUCUCUUUCGGUUAUCCGGCUCGACGGCAACAAUCUGUCAACAACAGUUCCAGACUUCUUUGGUACUUUCUCCAAUUUGACGAUUUUAACCCUCAGCAGUUGCUCGCUCGAAGGUCCCUUUCCCGAGACUAUCUUUCAGGUACCCACUCUACAGAGACUGGAUUUAUCAAGAAAUAUAUUGCUCAGCGGUACCAUAUCACAUUUUAUUCCUAACAGUUCUUUAACGACUGUGGUCCUUAGCUACAGUAACUUCUCGGGUUCAUUACCAGAUUCUGUUAGCAAUCUUGAGAUGCUGUCCAGAAUAGACCUGUCCAAUUGCCAGUUCAGUGGAUUGAUUCCAUCCUCACUGGACAAACUAACCCAACUCGUUUAUCUGGAUUUCUCGUUUAACUCCUUCACUGGUCCAAUCCCACUGUUUCAUAGGGCCAAGAAACUCUCUUAUAUAGACCUCAGUCGUAAUUCUCUUACAGGCUCUCUUUCUUCUGUUCAUUUUGACGGACUCUCGAGUCUUGCAAAUAUAAAUUUAGUGUUGAAUUUACUCAAUGGGAGCAUUCCCCCGUCUCUGUUUGCCCUCCCUUCACUACAGAAACUUCAGCUUUCCAACAACAGAUUUAGUGGCAAAGUCGAGGAUUUUUCGACGUCGAAUUCUAAUCUCGACACACUAGAUUUGAGCAGUAACCGCCUGGAAGGUUCUAUCCCGGAAUCUUUCUUCCUACUUGAACGGCUGAAUGUUCUCUCACUUUCUUCAAACUCGUUCAAUGGAACUGUGAAGCUGGAAAAGAUUCAAAUGCUUCGCAACCUUACAAGACUAGAACUUGGGCACAACAAUUUAUCAGUUGAUGCAAGCACCACUAGUUUAUUCCAAUUUCCCCAGCUAAGCAGGUUAAAUCUAGCUUCUUGCAAAUUGUCAGAGUUUCCCAAUUUGGCGAACCAAUCCAAACUGACAGUUUUGGAUCUUUCGAACAACCUUAUUAAGGGAGAUAUACCGAGUUGGAUUUGGAAUAUUGGGAAUGGAGGACUCUCCCAGUUGAAUCUUUCCUAUAAUCUCCUUACAGGUCUCCAAAAGCCUAUUAAUAUGCCUUCUUCUCUAGGUGUACUUGACCUACACUCAAAUAGGCUCCAAGGUGAGUUUCCAUUGCCCUCAGUAGCAUCUAUCUAUGUAGAUUACUCGAGCAAUAACUUUCAAGAGACGAUUCCGCUUAACAUUGGCACCUUCACUUUCUAUGCUCUAUUCUUCUCUCUUGCAAACAAUGGAUUUACAGGAACAAUUCCUCAAUCUCUUUGCAAUUCAACUUACCUUCAAGUUCUAGACUUUUCCAACAACAAGCUCAAUGGUAGUAUACCACUUUGCCUGCUGGAGAAUCUCACUAGUCUGGGGGUUUUGAAUCUCGGGAGAAAUCAUAUCGCUGGUGAUAUACCGGAUACAUUUUCUGUCAACUGCAGUCUCAAGACUUUGGACCUCAGUAAUAACAACAUAGGGGGGAAUAUUCCACCGUCCUUAGCCAAUUGCAGAUCUUUAGAGGUUGUGAAUGUUGGGAACAACAACUUUGAUGAUGGAUUCCCGUGCAUGCUUAAAAAUUCAUCCAGCUUGCGUGUUCUUGUUCUGCGCAACAACACAUUUCACGGUGAACUAAGAUGUUCUAUGGACAAAGAGAGUUGGUCGAAUCUUCAGAUUAUCGACAUAGCUUCCAAUAACUUCAGCGGUGAACUAUACCCAAAAUACAUCACGAGUUGGAAAGGAAUGAUGCUAGACAAUGAUGCACAGCCGAGGCGCAACCACCUACGCUUUGCGUUUCUGAAUCUGAGUAACUUCUACUACCAGGACACAGUGUCGGUGACCAUGAAAGGCCUGGAACUGGAGCUUGUCAAGAUUCUGACAGUCUUCACAGCCAUUGAUUUUUCUUGCAAUAACUUGAGCGGGGAGAUACCUGAAACAGUUGGAAACCUCAGUUCACUUUACGUACUCAACUUAUCUCACAAUGCUCUGUCAGGCGUAAUUCCAAGCUCUGUUGGAAACUUGAAACAGCUAGGAUCGCUGGACCUCUCUACGAACCAGCUAACAGGGGAAAUACCAAACGAACUCACAAGUCUCACGUUUCUUUCGUUCUUGAAUCUGUCCUACAAUAAUCUAGUUGGGAUGAUCCCAACAGGUACUCAAAUUCAAACGUUUUCUGCAGAAAGCUUUGCAGGAAAUCCAGGGCUAUGCGGGUUUCCUCUUAACACGAAAUGUGGCUCUAAUCGGCCGGAUUCAGAAUCAGUGGCAAGCUUGAAAAGGAUAGAAUUUGAUUGGCAAUCCAUAUUCACAGGUGUUGGAUAUGGGUUGGGAGCGGCGUUAGUAAUUGCUCCUCUUGCAUUCUGCAAGGAAUGGAGGGAAGAGUGCAACGAUAAAUUCGAUAAAUUUGUGAAGCAGAUGUUUCCGAGAUACGGAUUCAGUUACAUAAGGUAUGAUGGAAAGGUUGAGGCGGUGGAAAAAGUCGAAGAUGGGAUGACAGAUGAUGAUGAUGAUGAAGACGAAGAUGAAGAAGAAGACAUUGGAGAUGGAUUAAGUAGGGGAAAGUACUGUGUAUUUUGCACAAAAAUGGACAUUCAAAUAAAGAAGGCGAUGCACAAUCCAAAAUGUACAUGUCAUUUCUCGUCUCCCCCUACAGCAUCUUCUUCUUCUUCUUCAUCUUUACUAGUAAAAUAUCACUAGAACUAUGGAAUAUAUUUCAUUUGUAUAGAGAUACAGAUUACAGAGUCAGAAACAAAAAUAUUCUUUGAGAUGUUUAUGUAAGCUGAAUUGAUUACUUUGGUGAAUAUAUACUGGAAACAAAAACAAAAAAAACGAAAUGUUUUGGUAAUGAUGAGUCAGGUGAGUGAGUAAUUAUGUCGAACACCUGGUGCUCAAAUAUUGUUUCAUGUAAGAGUUGUUUGAAGAUGAUGUAGAAAGAAUAGACUCAUAUUAUGAAAAAUGAAAAGAAAAGGGAAAAAGGGGAAAAAGAAGAAAGAAAGAUUGUGAUGCAUUUGGUGUUGGUCAAGAAUCGUACCUGGUAUUGAACAGAGAAUGGUGAGUUGGUAGUACUAGACAAAGUAGAGUAGUGGGCUAGUGGGCUUCUCAUGAUGAUAUUAAUUAUUGGGCUUAAUCUCCAAUUCAACUGGAUCAUCACUUUCAGAUCCAUUUCCCGACUAAUUGUCUUAUUUCUCAACCAGAUCCAUUUUUUUUUUAAAUAACUCUCGUAUUAAUAUGUAACUUAAAUUAAAGGGUUUAUUAGGGAUAACCCCUUGUUCAUAUUUUCUAAUGAGGUAGAUCCAAUUUUUUUUCCCCUUUUUGAGAUAGACCCAAUUUUGCCAACUUGGCAAAAUAUAUUAUAUGAUUUUCCUUUAAUACCCCUGUUUUAUUUUUAAACGGCAUUUAUUUCCUUUACUACGUGAUUUGAGAUUUGCUGAUACGUUGCCUAAAAUCACGGAAUAAAAUUACGUGAGAUCAUUAUAUCAAAUCGUGUACAAUAUUUUUCGAAGGUUCUCUUCAGCGUUCCAGUGGUUUUUUAUCGUCUUUGAAGAUAUCUGCACCGUCGUUGAAAUAGGAUCGAAUUUGAGCGUUCGUUGUUGGACGUUGUUAACCGGGUACGAAUGCGUUAUUCGUUUUUAUUUUUCGCUCAAUGUCUAGGGUUGUCGAUUACGGUGGUUAGAAAUUUUUAAGAGUUGUGUUGAUACUUGAUUCUAUUAAGUAGAACGUUUUUUAACAAAAUUAUUCCGUCAUAUAUACAUCGUUAUUUUUGGCGGAUGAUGUUUGUUUGGAAGAUGAUUGACAGACUUAGAUGAGGAUGGUUCACGCAUAUCGGACCAGAGUUGUUUUAUAUGAACAUCGUAGUUGGUUUACGCAUUAAUUGAAAUAACUGUCCGCUGACGUGGAGUUCAUGAGUCUGAUCCCGGUCGAUAGUUAGUUUAUUUGUUUAUAACAGCGGAUUUGAGGACGCUGGGUAGUACAUUAAAAUAUAUUUCGUAGUAAUUUUUAAGUUAUCAUAUGAAUUUUGCAUUUUAAGUUUAUUUUUGAUCAUAUUAAUAUAUUUUUUAGUAUUCUGCAUUUUUAAUGUCGUAUCAUAUUAAUAUAUACAUCGUUAUUUUUGGCGGAUGAUGUUUGUUUGGAAGAGGAUUGACAGAGUUAGAAGAGGAUGGUUCACGCAGAUCGGACCAGAGUUGUUUUAUAUAAGCUUCGUAGUUGGUUUAUGCAAUAAUCGGAAUAAUUGUCCGCUGUGGUCGAGUUCAUGUUUUUGAUCCCGAUCGAUAGUUGGUUUAUUUGUUUAUAACAGCCGAUUUAAGUGUGCUGGGUAGUACAUUAAAAUAUAGUUCGUAGUCUUUUUUCAAUUAGCGUAUGAAUUUUGCAUUUUAAGUUUAUUUUUGAUGAUAUUAAUGUAUUGUCAUUCAAAUGUAUUUGCAGUCUAUUUAAUCAUUUUUUAGUAUUCUGCAUUUUUAAUUUUGUUUCAUGAUUUUAGGUUUUUUCGAUGGCGAAUUUCGUACGGAUUUUGUUGAGGUUUGGUGGGUUGGUUGCUAUAAAGAGGUGUUUACGAUGUAAUGGCUCGGUAACUUCGGUUAAGUUUUAAACCGUUGUAAUACAGUAGUAUACUAUUAUGAAUACCGUAUGAUACUACCAUUAUCAUUUUAUUGUACUAUUAUGAGAUUAUUAAUGUACUAGAGUUUUAACUCGACAUAUUGGUUUGAUUGUGUUAUGAUGUGUUUUAUGUAUUUUAUCAAAACCCUAGAUUGAAAUUAUGAGAUUAUUAAUGUACUAUUUUAUUGGUUAUGUUGGAAUACUUUACCUUGGUGUUGUUCUCAAUGUUCUUGUCAUUUCAGUGGUAUAUUAUUUGUAACACAAUUCAUAUCACUACUAUAACCGUAAUAUACUAUCAUAGCAGAUCAAUGUACUAUAUUGAAAUUAUUAAUAUACUAUGUGGUUGAAUAAUACGGGAUCCAUAGUCGAUUAACGAGAUCCAUAGUCGAAUUAGAUCAAUAAGAUAGUCUAUUACAUGAUAUAAAGAAAAUUACCCUAAUUGAUUAGUAUUUCAAACAAACAUAUUAUUCAGUUUCCAUAUAUAUUAUUAUUUUUCACAUAUAUUAUUAUUUACCUUAAUCGUUUUCAUAUAAUAAGGAAAACUACUCUAAUUGAUUAGUAUUUCAAACAAACAUAUUAUUCAGUUUCCAUAUAUAUUAUUAUUUUUUCAAUAGUCAAUUAACUAAACCCAUAGUCGAAUUAGAUACAUGGGAUAGUCUAUUAAAAGAUAUGAGAUAGUCUAUUAAUUUUAAAACACAAAUCCGCCGCCGUCACUUCUCAAAUCUAGGGUUUUGACGAUUCUUCGGCCCAUAGUCGAUUAACGAGAUCCAUAGUAAAAUUAUACUAGUGGGAUAGUCUAUUAAAUGAUAUGUGAUAGUAUAUUAAUACAGAUGUAAUUCGACUAUGCAUCUCGUUAAUCAACUAUGGGCCGAAGAAUUAUCAAAACCCUAGAUUUGAGUAAUCCUAGAUUUGAGUAACCCUAGAUUGGAGCAGUGACGGCGACGGCGACGGCGGCGGCCAACGACGAUAUCACUUCUGGUGGAUGUCCUGCCAAUCAAUUGUUGCAAUAUCACUGAUUUAGUGCUCGAAUUCGGUAUGCGAUUAUAACAGAUCUGCAAUUACGUACACAAACGUGAUAGUCGAUUUAGCCAAAACAUAUCAACAAAUCGAUGGAUGAUAGCGAUUCAGCGAGUGGCGACGACGUACCUACGACAACUUGCUCGGAGUGCACGAAAAUCGUCGUUUCACGGCAGUGAGACGUCUUCCCCUUUCAAUCAGCCGUACCGGGAAGUUGUUAUGGGAGGUUUUGCAGUUUAUUCGAUAGUGGGUUUGGGAUGAUAGUGAUUUAACGGGAAAAUAUGAAGGGAUUUGAUUUUAUUUCAAAAGGUAAAGUAACGGGUUUUGUGGCAUUUGAUUGAGGGUAAUUAUGUAAUUAUGAAAAGUUUGGGCUGUUAUCAAAAUGGCAAAUAUAAAUUUGGGUCUACCCCUAUUAUUUGAAUGUUUAAGGGGGUUAUAUCUAAUAGACCCUAAAUUAAAUCCCGUAAUUUAAAAAAAAAAUGUAACUUAAAUAUAAAACACCAACCUGAAAAUGUACAAUGAUCAUUUAAGAAGAAACCCAAAAAUCUUGCUAAAAAAAUGUGACUAGGGGUAUAUAUGUCCCUAAAAGGAAAAAAAAGAUUAAAGGGAUGACGGAGUCAAACUCGUGAGUCAGAGAGGGAGGCAGGUGGAUUGACCCCAGCUCUACAAAGGGGACAAGUGGAACGAGUGAUGAGCCACUUGUCAACGCAGUCGGAGUGAAAACCAUGGCGGCAGAGUGGCAAAACCUUGACCUUGUCGCCCUCUUGAAACAUGCUCAAGCAAAUGGCGCAGUCGGCCUCGGCUGGUUCUGGGAUCGGCUUCUUGUUCUUGCAGCAGCUGGUUGAGCCGUAGGAGAAAAUGGGCAAACUUCCAAUGGUGGCAGGGUCAAGGCCCGCCGUCCGAGGAGGAGGAGGUGCAGGUGGAGUGUUGGAAUUGGGAGGAGUUUGGUGGCGGGUGCAUAUGUAAAGAAAGUAAAGGGAAAAGAAGGUGAAGAAGAAGAAGAAGAAUAAGAAGAGUGCACCAAGAAGUGGGCUCUUGCCAUCAAUCUUUUCUUUUAGGUCUGUGAAAUGAAGAGCCUCGAAAUUCUCCGAUGCCAUUCUAUCUAUCUAUGUCAACACAUUUCACUCGAUCCAGAAAUCAAACCCAAAUUAAAGAAGAUAGACACUCGAUCGGCCUCGUGUUUUUUCACAACGAUAAUAAUAAUAGUUGUAAUAAUAAAAUAAAAUAAUAUAUAUAGCUGGACGAAAAGCGUUUUGAAUACGACGACAUAAAUGUGAGAUUGGAUACUGCUUUUAUUGUAAAGCAACAAUAAUAUUGAUUUUAUGCUUAUCAAUUUCACUUUUCAUCUUUACUUUCUUUCUUUCUUCCUUCCUUUCUUUCUUUUUUUUAAAAAAAAAAAAAAGGAAAUUAAGAUUAAUUAUCCAGUGCUGUCUUUUAUGGUUCUUUUUGGGGCGUGUGAAGAAGAAGAACAAGAACAAUAAAUCUUAGCAGCUUGCGUUCCGAUGACGACAUGAUUGUAUCGGAAAUUAAUAAUUUGUACGUCCAACUGGAUUUGUAUUUCAUACCAUUUUCGAUAUUAAUUUUUAACAACUAAUUUUGUGAGGUUAAUUACCAUUUAUUAAUUACUAAUUACUACCCCAAUAUAAUAGAUCAGAAACGAAAAUAAAGCAAGCGCGUAUUACAAAAUACAAAAUAAUUAAAGAUGCUUGAUUUUUUCAAAUUGAGGUAUUACUCCACAAUUAUCAGAACCUAGCUACAUAUUAAUUAGAGAGAAAUAUAAACAUAGAAUAUUAAUUAAUAAAUAAUACUAUUAAUUACCAAGAAAUAAAGGCAUGGAUGGAUGGACGAUCGAUCAGCUUAGUAGGUUGAAUGAAAGCAUGCAUAAAUAAAUAUAUAUAGUUCAUGAGUAGUAGUGGUGGUCUGAUCUCCGGGCUGCACCAUACAUCUCGUCCUCCCAUGAUGAGUAAUUAUAAUUAUCCUCGUCAAAAGGGAGAUGGAGAUCAUCAUUAUCAUUAUUAUCAUUAAUUAAUAAUGAAGAAGAACAAUUAUUAAUAUUAUUAUUAUUAAUAACAGUUAAAUUAUAAUUAGUGGGAUCAGCAUUAAGGGUGGUGGUGGUGGUGAUAUUAUCGAUCAUGGAGUGGUGAAGCCAUAUCUGAUUUUGUAGAAACUUGACGUACUGUAUGGCUUCUUCAAGCAUCGACACUGUGUCCAUUUUCGAGCCACCUGGUACCAGGCUUUGCAAUAUCUUGAACCUCUCACUUAUCCUGUGCCGCCGCUGCCUCGCCGCCACACUCUGAGGGUCUGUCGACAGCUUCCCCCCUCCAUUCCCCUUAUUCUUCUUCUUCUCCUUCUCCUUCUCCUUAGCGGCCGCAGCGGCGAUUACUGAACUUGACUCGCAGGAACUAGGGUUUGACAAGGACGAAUAUGAAUCCAUUAUAUUUCUUGAGGGUUUCAAUUACUUUCAAACAUAUAAAUGUGCAGAUUCUCGUUGAGAGGUAAAGUUACAUAUAUAUAUGGGGUAAAAUAAAAUGGCAGUUAAGCAUGUCAUAUUGUGAUCAUACAUAUAUAUACAUAGCUAGUGAGAUAUUUCUUUUUUCUUUUUCUUUUUUUGUGGUUUCAGUUAACCGAAAUGUUCAGCGUCGUUUCAAUUAUACUAAUAUCGUUUUGACUUAGAACGUAAUUUUGACCCUUCUCUACUUAGAAUUUGGUUAAAUUCAAAAGACAGAAACUGUAGUACUUUGAGUUAGCUUUCUUAUCCAAUUUGAAUCAGCUAGAUUGGAUGUUGUGCGAUAAAGUUACACAUAAAUGAGUUACAUUUUAAAUUUUACAUAUAAUUUAAAACAUCAAAGUUGUGAGCAAUGUUCAUUGGUUCAUGCAUAACUUUCUAAACCGAUAUCCAAUCUUGGUGAUUCAAGUUAUAUUAGAAAGCUAACUCAAAGACUACAAAUUCCAUAUUCUGAAUUUUGCCAAAUUCAAACUCGAAAAUGAUCAAAAUCACGUUGGAAGUUGAAAUGACAUUAUGAAAAACUGGAACGAUAUGUAUCACAUCCCUUUAGUUAAUCAUAUUUUUUAUCUAGGUUUUAUACUUAACAAGUAAUUAUAUGUGUUGAUUAGACUGAUCAUUUCAAGGAUUUCAUUUUAAAUAAAUUUAGUAAUUAAUUUGGUUUUAGUUUAAAUUUGAUUUAUAUAUAAAUUAGGGUUAGAAUAUAAUGGUGUGGGAGUGGGGCUAGUGUUGAAAAAGAAAGAAGUGGUUGGGUUGGGUUAGAAAUGAAAUGAUGGCCCAAAUCAGAAUGGAUAUUCAAUCAUUCCCAAUGUUAAAAAAUAGGGGGGCCCCCCUAGGCCCUGCCCUCAAUCCAAUAUAUGUAUUUCCGGGCCUUUUAAUAUUAUUAUUAUUAUUGUCCCUCUUUUUAUCCCUACUCUAGUCAACUGUUUUCAUUCAAACAAUGUAACUAUUGCAGACCAACAUUCAUAAUUAAUUUAAAUAUGGAUACAAAUUAAUGAGGUUCCAAUUUAUUUAUAUAUAAAAAAAAAAAAAAAACAACUCAUUUGACUGUAUAUUGGUAAUUGGUGCAGGCGAUGGAAAGCACAUGGGUUUCCGGCCGGGUGGGUAAAACCCUAUUUGUAACUUUUAACUGUCUUCUCAAUAGUCAACUACUCUUCAGCACUCAUAAAAUUAAAUCAUCAUCAUACCAUAUUUUUUACAUAACACAUGCACGCACGCAUGUUUGAUUUUAUUUUUUCUAAUAUAAAAAUUAAUAUUAUGCAAUCAUCAAAACCAAUAUAUUAGCUUGUCUUUAUAUAUAUAUAUAUACACACACUAGUUACAGUAAUGAUGAUUGAUUUGAUUAGACUUAUUAAUAAAGUAUGAAGCCGAAUUAAGAUACAUAAGAAAAAGCAUGAGGAAGCCGAUAUGAUCCAUAGAGAAUUGAUUUGUUAGGUGAAAAAAGAUGGAGUAGACAUUUAUGCAGUAGCACAUUUAAAUAUAUGGAGUGACGUAAUUAUUAUGGGGGUUGAUUCGGAGAUAGAUGCAGAAUGCAGAAUGAAUGAAUUAAUUAAUCGUCUUAAUUCAAACCUGACAAUAUAAAUGCAUAUGCAUGUGACAGUACUACAGCAAUAUGUCCUUCAUUUUUGUACUUCCAUUUUAGUCCUUCACUGUAGGGGCCAUAUAUACGCCCAAUUAAAUAUUUGUAGGAAAAUUAAAAUACAUGAUGAUGGAAUUAAUUGUCUAGUAGGCCUUAAAAGUUUCAAACGGGCCGGGCCGCGAAGAAGCUGGAAGUUGGAAAAGUAUAAAGCCUUUUGGGCCAGGGCCCUUAUUGAAAGUCUACCUGCAACUGCAAGUCAGCGGUAUUGAAUGAAUAUCCAAAAGUCAACAAAGGAAAGCAGCUGUAUUGAAUGAAAUCCCAGAAAAAACAGAAUAGCACGCUUCAUAGUUGGUGGUGAUGAAGAAUUUGAAUCGAAAGCCGGAAAUGGGAAGGAGAAAUGGAGUGAUAGGGCUGGGAUUGAUGCCCGAUCAUUGGCCAACUACUUCUAACAUCAUCAAUGUUUCAUUUCCACUUCCCCCCCAAUAUCCAUCUACCUCCACCACCCCUGCCCCUGGUAUGUACCAUUUUUAUCCUCUGCACUCAUUCCAUUGUCUUUUUUUUUAAUUAAUAAUUUGGUGGAUAAUUUUGGAGGAUAAGGAUGGGCAAACCAAAACCAAACCGAACAUAUAUAGUUGUUUUAGUUUAUUAGUUUUCUCUUCCUUAAUUAGAUCCACGUUGGUGACAGUAUGUAUUAGUUAAUUUUAUCAUGAUUUUUUGUUACAAGUUGGAAAUUCUACUAAUGUUGAUCCUUUCUUGAUGGGAAUAUGCCUGAUUUUGCUAUUCAUUUUAUUUCUAUCUAUUUCAUUUGAUUAUGUUACUAUCCCCUUGCCAAUUAUUAUUCCAAGUAUCUGGCUUCCUUUUGGGUCGUCGUGAUGUUUAUAAUUCGUAAAUUGUAAUCGGUCGAUCGGAGUGGCUUUUAUGCUUUCUUUCCCAAAAGACUCAUUCAUGUGCCUGUGGUAGUAGUAGAUAUAGAUAUGACAUUCAAUGUUGAAUGAUCUGAUUUUGAGAGGGAAUGAAUCUUUAGUUAUAUCAUAUAUGUUUAAGUUUCAUUUUACUUUCUCAAGGUUGUGUAUAAUCUGAUAUUCAUUUACCAAAAAAUGAAAAUGAAAUGAUAUAAAGCCUGAGACACACAAACUUUUCAUGUUUACAUGUAAACAAAAACAAGAAGAUGAGCCGAAAAGCCAGGAGGAGGAAAUCUCUAAAGGAGAGGAAGCUGUUGCUCAAGUAAGGAAAGAGGUUGACAUCCUCGAGCAUCAGGUAUGUAAUUGUUUUCACUUUUUUUAAUUUCGUUUCAUGACAUGUGCCCAUUUAAUUAAUUAAUUAAUUAUUUUUCGAUGGUAGGUAUUUGCAUUGCAAGUUGUUGUGAACAAUGGAAGCAAAGUUGAUGGCAAGGAAAUAAGUUACUUGACUGAGAUGCUUAUGAUGAAGUUGCUUAAAUUGGAUGGCAUUGAAGCUGAAGGUGAAGGGAGAGCUCAGAGAAGGAUGCAGGUUUUUGCUUUCAUCCACUUUAACUCUCUACUCUUAUAGUUCAAACAUAUGGCACAACUAGCUAGUAUUAUUUUCUUCUCAUUAAGAUUAUUAUAUCCAGGUACGUCGGGUCCAGGGCAUUGUCGAGAAACUCGAUCUCCUAAAAUUGAGAAACUCAAAGCUAUGACAUGUUUAUUUAUGCCUUGUAUCCAUCCUUUCAUUAUUACAUCCUUUUACGAGUUUACCCUGAAUUGGGGACUUGUGGUAUAUAUAGUACAUGUUUGGGUUGUGAGUCGUGAAAUUUCUUAUACCGGUCAGUGCAUUCAAUAUUUACUAUUAUGUAUUUGCUCAACUUGGAUUAUUGGUUCUGGAAUCACUUUGUUGUAAUGAUAUUUGAUUUCAUCAUUGUACAAAUCUCUUGUUUCUGUAUGUUGCGCACCCAUUUGAACUCGAAAACAAACGUAAGAGAAUACAUAAUACUUAUGUGGUGUUUGCAAACGCUUUUCCAAAGUGACUAUGAGCUUUUUUUGGUUCAAAAUCAGUUUUUUUUUAAACAUUAAAAAACUCAUAAUCACUUUGGGUAACCGUUUGCAAACACUGCCUUAAUCUAUUACAAAGAUUUACUUAUGAGAAUGGGAUUAGGGGAUUACAAGUUAUCUAAGAACAAAAGAAACAAAAAUUGGAAACUGAAGAAACAGACCAACAAAGAAGCUAUGAACAAUUCAACUCCAAUGAAUGUGGAAGCUCGGCUUUCUGUUACAGCUUAGUUUCCUAUUGUCACGUUUCUCGUCCAAAAACCACCGACGAUGGCUUCAACAGUUGAGCACAAAACACAAACAACUCUUUAUUUAUGUUUGUAUCUUUUGUUUUCUUUGUCACUCACUCUAACAAAAUUAUGGUUCCCUCUUAUUAGGAGAUAGGAUAUUAGGAGAUAAGUCAUUGAAUAGAAGCUGAAGCAUAAUUUCUUAUUUAAACUCACAUUUCAUAUAAUACAAUCAUACAUAACAAACCAUGUGAUCGCAAGUCACAACACAAGGUUAAAACAAUCUUCGAACCAAUGCCACUCUCAAUUCCUUUAGUCCAUCCACACAACAAAUCUUAUAUCUACAAAACCAGUGGAAUAAUUAAGUAGAUACAAAUUCAUUCUAACAUUAAAAAUUAUAAAUCAAUAGUAACACCCCUAGCACUAAAAAGUCCAGUAGUUUGAGGCAAAUCAUGAUCUGGAUGAGAUGGAUUAUGCCAUCCGUGUUUAGCAGAGUCAUAUUUCUCACCAUCACCCCAAAGAGCGUACGCUUCCUCACCAUGGACAGCAUCAUCUCCAAUCACGAGAUGCUCGUCUGGCAUGCGCAGAGGUAUCACUAUUUUGAUUAGCAGCAGAAUCACUGUUGUGGAUAUGAAGUUCCAUCCAAUGACAAAUAAUGCGGCUACUAAUUGCUUAACGAAUAGCAUUCCUCCACCGUAAAAAGCACCCUUUGUGUUUGUUACUGGCAGAAUCAUGCUGCACAGUGUCGGCUCCGCAAACAGCCCUGUGAGAAGGCCGCCCAGUAUUCCGGCCACAGCGUGUGUAUAGAACACGGCCAAUGUAUCAUCAACCUGCCAUUAGUUAGUAGAUUAAAGUAGAUGAUGAUGUCAGAAAUAUUUGUUUAAUAUAUCUUAGAGAAUAAGGAUGGGUAAUUAGUAUAAUAGUUCAUUAAUUACAAGUAGUAAUUGUCACGUGAGAAUUGCAUCGAGAAGGGAAAUUAAGAUGUGCAUCAUGGAUAUGAUGAACUAUUCCGAAUGACGAUGUGAAUAUCCCAAUUAAUUAGUAAGCAUAAAUAAUGCAAGUGGGAACGUGCGUAUCAUCAUGGAUGAACAUAUUUGAGAAUCCAAUUUUAAAUUGCUGAAUUAGAAAAACAUAUACGUACGAUCUGGACAGACUAAGUAUUAGAAAAAUAAAUUAAAGAUUUAGGAGGAGAAAAUAUCCUUAUAAGUUGACCAAAAAAACAUGUGCAUAGUUAGGCAAGUUUCUUUUCUGAAUAGUUGGUUAGUUGGUUGGUGUAAAGACAGACUAAAGAGUAAAGAGAGAGAGAGAGAAGGUAGUUCCGGGAAAGAGGUAGGUAGGUAGUUACCUUUUGAAGCAAAGUGGACUUUUUGUGAAGAAUCAUCAUAGAAUACCAUGGAACACUACCAGAAAGCAUUCCGUAUACAAUAGCAGCCCAAGGUUGAACCACACCUAGUAGUGUAAAUAUUGUAAUUUUGAUUAAUUAAUUAAUUAAUUAAUAAAUAAUGAAAUGAAAUAGAAAUAGAAAUAGAGGCCAGAAGUAGCACCUGCACCAGGAGUAAUGCAAGCAAGACCAGUAAUCAUACCCUGAACAGCACCAAUAACAGAGGGUUUACCAAAGUAGAAAACAUCAAGACAAGUCCAAACAAGAAGACUAGUAGCUGCAGAUACAUUGGUGUUCAAUAUAGCUACAGAUGAAACUACAUUUGCUGCAUAUGGUGCACCACCAUUAAACCCAGACCAUCCCAUCCACACCAGCCCUGCUCCCGCAAGCAUUAGCAGUAUGUUGUUCGGUACAUAUCUUUCCCUGUCUGCUUUCAAUCUAGGCCCCACCUGUAUGUCGUCAUUUUUUCAUCCCAUUAAUUUCAUCAAUUAAUUGGUAAUAAAUAUUCAAGAAAGAAUCAAGAAUGAAUUACGUACCCAAUAAGCCGCCGUGAAACCAGAAAUUCCAGAUGCGAGAUGAAUGACGUAGCCCCCGGAAUAAUCAAUCACACCCCAGUGGUAUAGAAACCCACCUCCCCAUAGACUGUAGGCGCCGACGGUGUAACAGAAAGUCAACCAAAGAGGCACAAACGCCAUCCAAGCCUUAAUGUUCAUCCUCCCCAACACCGACCCCGCCAGCAAAAUGGUGGUUAUCGCCGCAAAUGUGAACUGGAAGUAAACAAGCGUCGCCAUCGGGAAAAAUGGCUCGUUCAUUUUGGUCUCCACGGUGCCGUUUGCGUAGUAGUGGGUGCUCUCCGGCACGGCGGCGCGUCCGGUAAGGUACUUCUGGCCAAGGGCAGGGGCGCCCUUUCCCCAGAAGGGUAAAAGCUCGUCACCGAAGGCGAUGCGGUAGCAGAGGAGAACCCAGCAGAUUAAGACGGCGGCGAAGGCGUAGAGGGCCAUGAAGGCGGAGUUAACAGCCCACUUUUUCUUGACGAUGCUGGCGUACAGUAUGACGAGACCAGGCAUCGACUGGAGACCCACGAGGGUAGACGCCGUCAUCUGCCAUGCGUUGUCCCCUUUGUUCAGCCAUUCUGGUACCGCCGGGAGCCGUUCUUGAUAUGCCAUUGAGCUCAGAUUAUCCAUCAGUGUAGAUGGAAAUAUUGGUACGUAGUAGUGGUAGGUUUGUGCGGUAAUAAAUACUACAUCAUCGCCAUUCGCCGCGGAGGAGGAACAAGAAUGUUUGAAGUCGUCUUUAGUCAAAAUUGCACGAUCAAGAAGCUUCGCGUGAUAUUAUUGGAAGUUUUCUUCUCAUUUACAUUUUUCUUUUAUUUUUAAUAAGUACAUGUAUUGAAUCUCAGUUAGUCCACACACGUUAUAGGCCUUUAAUUGGAUAAAAAAUAAAAUAAAAAAAAUACUCGGAUGCCAUUUGCAUUAUUCAACAGUAUCAAGACAAAUUUGCAAGUGUGGGGUCCAAUCCAAGGCUUUGUUAGAACUUAGAACAUACAUAUACAGCGGACUCGAAAGGUCUCCGUUAGCUUUUAAACAGCUGGAGUUAUUAUACAGAUACUCUGCAGGGCAUAAUAAUAAUAAUAAUAAUAAUAAUAAUAAAAUAGAGCAUGUGGUAUUAUUUAUUUAUUUAAGUUGUCAAUUGUCUGAUCUAACUAACCACCACUAAAUAGUUUCAGCCCAACUACACAUUAAAUUGGUCCAAUCCCAAUAAAAUUGGAAGCCCUAAAACAACCAUGAUCGACCCAAUCCUUCAAAUCUUAUCCAAAAAUAAAACCCAAUCCUUCAUUUUUUUUCCUUUCUUAUUUUAAUUGAUGCAAAGUACAGACCAUUUGCUAAUUAUGUGGUCCUAAUUUACCCAAAAAUCCAUUCCUCCAUUGCAUUUUUUUUCUUCUUCACCAUCAUCAUCAUCACGAACACCACCACCAUCAUCAUCAUCAUCAUCAUCAUCGCUUGUUGAUCGCUACUAUAUAUAUUAUUAAUAAUAAAACACACAAGAUAACACUCUCACAUCAAUAAUAAUAAUUAAUAUAUGAUAAACAUAUACAUGUGUGGAUAUAAAUAAUAGAGACAAGUAAACCGUCAGGUCGAGUCUCUCUCUCUCACACACACACAAUUUCACACACAGUCACACGCACACGCAGUAUAUGUGUGGUACUGCAAGUUGAUAUAUAGUACAAAAAUGUCCCAUACAUAAAUGUUUUAUUAUAUCGCCUCCACAAAUUAUCCAUAUCAAUAGAGGAAGAAUAAGUCUUUAGCUCACAGAGAAGACGCUAGAUCUUUCCUCUUUCUAUUAAGAAUUUACACCUCAAAAUAUGUUUUGGACGCACAAUAAAUAACAUAUAUACAUGUAUAUAUAUAAUAAGCAAUAUAUAUAUGUAUAUAUAUAUAUUGGGGCAUCAUAAUUUGAUUAACGAUAAAUAUCAUGGGAUUAAUAAUCUCAUCAAUAUCGCCAUCUCCAUCAGAAACAGUAGUACUAAAGGAAGACGGAGACGGCGAAUUUGCUCAUGAUGGAAAGAUAACAAUGGUGGUGCUUGUCUCUCUUUUAUCUGCUUUUCUUAUCUUCAUCCUUUUCUUUCAGUUUGUACGACGUCGCUUCUACUUGCCAAACGUAACUUAGUGGCUACUACUCUUGGCUACCGCUAGUAGAUCUGUAGUAGUGACUAGCUAGUGAGCAAAGGCGGCCUAAAUAUUUGCAAUUAUGCUCACAAUUUAACAUUAUUAAUUUAUAAGUUGAAUUUAUCUCUACUUAAUUAGUUUCUCCUUUUUUCCUUGCAUGUGUUUGUGGUGGUUUGAAUUGAUUGAGGGAGGUUUUACUGCAUUUUGUGGUCUAUAAUAAUUAAUCAUUAAACUAGACAAUAAUCUAUAAGGGUUGGACCGAAAUAGUUGGUUGUAUUUAAUUCGUCAUUACAAAUAAUCCUCAAGAUUAAUUAUGCAUCAUUCAUGAAUCUUGUUCUUUACUCAUAUUAAAAUGUGCCAACAUGUUUGAUUGGAAUACUUAUAACUAACAAGUUUUACCUCCGGAUAUAAUCCCUUCUCAUUAGAUUUAGAUCAAGCGAAUUCACUUGUCAUUAUUGGAGAUUUUUUACUUCAAGAUUGUACAAAUUUAUAAUGUAUUGUUGAGGCCCAUUAGCUCAGUUGGUUAGAUCGUCGUGCUAAUAACGCGAAGGUCGCAGGUUCGAGACCUGCAUGGGCCAUUUUUUUUUAUACAGAAUAUGGUAGCAAACAUUUAAUGGAGAUGCAUGGGCCAUUUCUUUUUUUUUUUUUACAGAAUAUGGUAGCAAACAUUUAACAUUUAAUGGAGAUGGAAAAGGGAAGAACAAGAAUAGCAUCUAUAUCCUGAUCAUGUAACUACAUGUCUUGAUGAUGCUAGGAAACAAUAUAAUAAGAUAUGAAGAACCUCAACAUCUCACUAAUAUAUAUUAUUAUAUAUAUAUAAUCGGAAUUCAUGGAGUCCUACGUACUAGCCUGUCUUGCAUUUUCAUUACAUUUUCAUUCAGCUUAAUUCUUAAGCCAAGGAGUCCUACUAGCCUGUCUUGCAUUUUCAUGACAAUUGUGUUAAGUACUUGUCUUCAUCAUCAUCAUCAUGACCUUGCAGAAUACUUAAUUGCCGUCUGAAUUAAUGAUCACCUCGUCAUCAGUACAUGCAUGUUGAUGAUUCUAUCUAUUAGGAAACUAUAUAUUUUAUUACAAGAUUAGGCAAGUAAAUAUAUUAGAAUAUUGUGUAAAUAUUUAUAGAGUAGUAAUUAGCCGUAAUUCUUGUAAUUAGCUAAUUUGUGGUGUCUCUGAGUGGCUAUAUUAUGCCAUAUCAACUAAUGAGAGAAACAAGCUUUUCCCAUAAUUUUAUUUUCUUGAUAAUAUGAUUUCAUCUAUUCUCUCUCUUAAUAUGGUACCAGAGCCUUAGGGCAUAUUUUUUUCUUUUUCCGCUGCUACUUCCUCAAAUUUUCUUCUUCUGCAUAUCUCAUAUUUCAAGUUAUGGCCAAAGAUGCAGAAAGCAAAUCUGACCUUAUCAAUCCUACAUCACCAUACUAUCUCCAUCCUUCCGCGAAUCCGGGUUCAGUACUAACCCAAAUUAAAUUAAAAGGUGAGAAUUACUCUUCUUGGGAACAGGCUGUUAAAUUAGCUUUAAGAUCUCAGAAUAAAAUCGGGUUUAUUGAUGGGUCUAUUUCUAAACCAAGUCCAACUGAUUCUCAAUUCGUCGCAUGGGAGAUUGUCAAUUCCAUGUUAUGUUCUUGGGUUGCAAAUUCAUUAGACGACCCCAUUCGGGCUACCGUCUCUCGUCUUACUGAUAUCAAAAUCUUGUGGGAUUGUCUCAAAACCCGUUACUCUGUAAAAAAUGGUCCAAAAGUUUAUAAAUUGUGGUCCGAUCUCACCAUUACAAAACAGUCGGGGUCAUCGAUUAUGUCUUAUUAUACUCAAUUUCUUGGUAUGUGGGAAAAUCUUGCAACUCUGUCGCCGCUAGAGUCUUGUCAAUGUGCAAAUGGUUCUCCAAUACUCAGUUGGUUUAACAAUCUCAAAACCUAUCAAUUCUUAAUGGGUUUGGAUGAGUCUUAUAAUACCUUACGGACCCAAAUCAUUAAUAUGGAGCCUCCUCUCCCUGAAAUCGAUCGGGUCUAUGCCAUGGUGAGCCAGGAGGAGAGCCACAAGUCAGCAUUCCAGCCGAGAGAGUCUGCUCCUGCCGUGGGGUUUUCGGUGCAAACGAAUCACCCAUCGUCAGCUCAAUCGGGUCUUUCACCUGCUCCACCCGGUGGUCGACCACACUGUACUCAUUGUCAAAGGUAUGGUCAUACCUAUGACCGCUGCUGGAACCGCCUCGGCAUAUCUCCCACACCCCUCCGAGGUAGAGGUCGCGGCAAAGGACGACAUCACUCUUCUACAGGUCGUGGACAAUCUUCCCCAAUGUUUGCUGCCUGUGGCGAUCUCAUCUGCUGCUGCAAAACGGACAAUAGAAUCUUAUGAUAUAUGGCACCGCCGGUUGGGUCACCCAUCAUCGAAGCCGAUGUCGUUUUUGAGUAUUAAUGGCAAUAAGGUGGAUUUUUCUGAUAAAAACUCUAUUUGUGAUAUUUGUUGUAGAGCCAAACAAACUCGCUCUAGUUUUUCUUUAAGUACUCAUUCUGCUACAAACAUUUUCGACUUGAUUCAUUGUGAUAUUUGGGGCCCCUAUCGAAAGUCUACCCAUUCUGGUGCUAAGUAUUUCCUUACAAUUAUCGAUGAUUUUAGUCGGGCAGUAUGGGUAUUUUUAAUGCAUGAAAAGAGUGAUGCCAGCCUCUUACUACAACAAUUUUGUUUUAUGGCCAAAACUCAAUUCAAUAAACUGAUCAAAACUAUUCGAAGCGAUAAUGGUAUGGAAUUUGUCUCAAACACCAUGACCUCGUUUUAUGCUCAACAUGGUAUUUUUCACCAAACUAGCAUAGUAGAUACCCCACAACAAAACGGUAGGGUCGAGCGAAAACAUCGCCAUAUUUUAAAUAUUGCUCGUGCCCUUCUUUUCCAAGCAUCACUUCCAAUAGAGUUUUGGGGGGAGUGUGUUCUUGCUGCUGGUCAUCUCAUUAACCGAACUCCUUCUCUUUUAUUGCAUGGCCUCACGCCACAUGAUAAAUUAUUCUCUCAAUCACCUUCCCUUAAUCAUCUUCGAGUCUUUGGGUGUUUAUGUUAUACUCAUUACAAAGAUCGGUCAAAAGAUAAAUUUUCUCCUCGAAGUCGUCAAUGUAUAUUCUUGGGAUAUCCUCAUGGUAAAAAGGGUUGGAAGGUCAUGGAUUUAGAAACCCACAAAAUGUUUGUUUCCCGAGAUGUCAUAUUUGAUGAGAAUGUUUUUCCUUUUGCUCAAACCAAUAUUCCAUCAACUGAAAUAUCCCCAAACUCCACUAACAUCAAUACUUGGUCCUGGAACACCUCUACGUUUGAAGAACAAAAUUUUGAGUGUGAAGAGUCAGGGGGAGCAGCCCCCAACAUUUCAUCAUUGUCAAAUGUUCCUGACGAGUCAUCCUCUUCUAAUUUGGAGACCCAAGAGGAAUCACAAUUAGCCACGAUCGAGCCAGCACUUGGUCGAGCUCAGCGAUCUCGUCGCCCGCCUUCCCAUCUUCGUGAUUAUGUGUGUCACACGGCUACAGUUGUACACCCCAAAUUGUCUCACCCCUCAUCCGGAUCCUCAGGUACGCGGUUUCCAUUAGCGAACUAUGUUACCUGUGAAAUUUUUUCUAAAUCUCAUUCUAAGUUUUUGGCUGCCAUAUCUGCCGGGAUAGAACCCCGUACGUUUUCUGAGGCUCUACAGGACCCAAACUGGAAGCUGGCUAUGCAAACAGAAAUUGAUGCUUUGGAACGCAAUGGCACUUGGAUCAUUUCCGAUCUUCCUUCCGGUAAGAAGCCCAUAGGUUGCAAAUGGGUCUUCAAAUUGAAAUAUAAUGCCGAUGGUUCUAUUGAGCGUCAUAAAGCUCGACUUGUUGUUCGAGGUGAUACCCAAGUUGAAGGAAUCGACUACGACGAGACUUUUGCUCCUGUUGCCAAACUAGUGAGUGUGCGACUCUUUCUUGCCGUUGCGGUCAUUAAAGGCUGGAAAAUUCAUCAGUUAGAUGUUAAUAAUGCCUUUCUCCACGGUGAUCUACAUGAAGAGGUCUAUAUGCGGCUCCCACCUGGAUAUACUUCUUCACGUCCAAACAAGGUUUGUCGCCUUCGAAAAUCUCUAUAUGGCCUUCGUCAAUCUCCACGCAACUGGUUUGCUAAGCUCACAAGUGCUCUUCGUCGUUAUGGGUUCAUUCAAUCUCAUGCCGACCAUACAUUAUUCACUUACCGGAGCAAUGGGAUUUUCCUUGCCGUUCUCGUAUAUGUUGAUGAUCUUAUUGUGGCAGGCAAUAAUUCUUCUGCAUGUUCUUCGUUCAAGCAAUAUUUGAACCAGUGUUUUCAGCUCAAAGAUCUCGGACCUCUAAAAUAUUUCCUUGGCAUUGAAGCUGCUCGAAACUCGUCCGGUCUUUUUCUAUGCCAACGGAAAUACACACUUGAUAUAUUGAAGGAAGCCGGUCUUACUGGUUCCAAACCAGCUGCAACUCCAAUGGAGCAAAACCACCGUCUAGCACAUGCAACAGGUCCUCUAUUACAUAAUCCGGAGAGAUACCGACGCCUCGUUGGCCGUUUGGUCUAUUUGUCCAUUACUCGGCCGGAUAUUUGUUACGCCGUGCAUAUUUUAACUCAGUUCUUACAUGAGCCUCGACAAGACCAUUUGGACGCUGUUCUUCGUGUUUUACGCUACUUGAAAGGUUCUCCGGGUCAAGGCAUACUUCUCCGCUCAGACAGCUCGCUACAACUAUAUGCUUUCUGUGAUUCUGACUGGGCUGCAUGUCCUCUUACUCGUCGCUCUCUCACCGCAUAUUUUGUACAACUCGGCUCGUCCCCAAUUUCUUGGAAAACCAAGAAACAACCCACUGUGGCUCGAUCAUCUGCUGAGGCCGAGUACCGCGCCAUGGCGGUUACAACGUGUGAAUUAACGUGGAUUAAGUCAUUUCUUUCCUCUUUGGGUGUCUUCCAUACACAACCAAUGAGAUUAUUUUGCGACAACCAGGUUGCCCUUCAUAUUUCCUCUAAUCCGGUGUUUCAUGAACGAACAAAGCACAUAGAAAUCGAUUGUCAUUAUGUGCGUGAACAAUUACUCGCCGGCAGCAUUUCAACGGCUUAUAUCCAAUCGUCUCAACAACCGGCUGAUAUCUUCACUAAGGCCCUUAGUCAACAACAAUUUCACUUGUUACUUGGCAAGUUGGGUGUUCGAAAUCCUCACUCUCCAACUUGAGGGGGAGUAUUAGGAAACUAUAUAUUUUAUUACAAGAUUAGGCAAGUAAAUAUAUUAGAAUAUUGUGUAAAUAUUUAUAGAGUAGUAAUUAGCCGUAAUUCUUGUAAUUAGCUAAUUUGUGGUGUCUCUGAGUGGCUAUAUUAUGCCAUAUCAACUAAUGAGAGAAACAAGCUUUUCCCAUAAUUUUAUUUUCUUGAUAAUAUGAUUUCAUCUAUUCUCUCUCUUAAUACUAUCCGAUCCCAAAAACCCUUCCUUUUCAACCCAAUCGUCGUAAUUUGGCCCCCCCGAUUUGUCCCAUGAUAAUUAGUACUAGCUUCAUCAUGGCCCCUCAAAAUUUUCUCCUUAAGGUGGCUUCUAGUCUUUCAACAAUAUUCUGUCUCACCACUUGCUUCCAUGCUGUACAAUUUCCUUACUUUUUCGAUCACAAACUUUGAUCUUCGAAGAUCCAAGUAUGAAAAUAUAUAUGGACUAGCUCAUGUUAACAAUCUGUACAAAGCUCAAAUAAUAACUAAUUUGAGCACUAGCUAGGACUUAAUUAAUUCCAUAGAAGCUCUCGAUCAAGAAUGAAACUGUAAUUACAUUUCUUUAUGAUUAACCUAAUUGCACAAGACAGGCCAAAAAAUACUCAUGAAUAUUAAUUAAACUAGCUAGUAUAAUAAUUCCAUCAUCAGCUAUCUUUGAGAAUGUUCAUGUAUAGUUAUGAGUAGAAUUAAUAAAUGAGGAUCGUAACCCUAAACACGUGAGAGCUAGGAAGAAGACAUACAGACACCCCCUCUCUCUGUCUCUCUCUCUCUCAAAUAAUUAAAAAUAAUAAUAAUAUUAAGUAAUAUUUGUAUGAGAUAUCUAAUAAUGGCAUCUUCUAUAUUGUUACAACUUAUAAAUAAAUUAGGUAGGUACAUAUCAAAAUAAAUUAAGGUGCAGUUUUUACAUACUUAAAAACUUAAUGUUCAACGUAACUGUACUAGUUUCAGUACUAUUGGUUUUUUUUAUUUGCAAAAAUACCCUUGUUUAAUCUCUAAUUGCAGAAACUUAAAAGAAAACAAAACAAGUAGUAAUAAGUAAUAACUCUUUGUAAAGAUUGACCAAAGAAACGUCCAACGUAUGAAGAAGUCAACGACCAACAGGACCUCUGUUUACAUUAAUGAAUUUAUAUGCAUGGGGUUGGGGUAUCUUAGGAACAUGUGUACUGUCUCGUCUGCCUAUUAAUACGGAUCUACCAUCAAUUUAAGAAUAAGCAUGUCUGUCGUUUUGUACAUACAUAUAUGAUUCCUCUUCUAUAUAUAUUAAUUAAUUAAUUAGUUAAUCCUAUCAUCAUCAACAAUGAAUUCUUAACUGUAUAUAUAGACAUUCUUGCCCAAUUGCCCAUGCCCCAUAUAUAUAUUUGCAUGUUGCUUUUAUUAUCUUUCUAUAUAUUUUGUUGGUUGAUGCCUGAUUUAUGUAUUCCAUGCACCUACCUUUCAAAGGAAAAUUAUAUACGAUCUUCACAUUAAUUCUAUUUUCAUUUUCACAAAUUGGCCUGGUAUUAAUUAUUAAUCAUUAUAAAUUUAAAAAAACUUAAAUUGAAAGAAAGUUUACUUUUCAAAUAUAUAUAAUAUAUAUACCUUUUCUUAAAUAAAUUAUUUUCACCUCAUCAUCAUCAAUACCCUUUCAUCUUUUAGUUAAUUGUUUAUAUUAAUCUUGCUAAGGUGGGCAGUUGUCACAUGGGUUUCUUUGAUCAAAAAUUUUUCGCCCGUCCGGCCUGAUUUGCCCACCAAAUCAGUCAGCCUUCCUCUCGAUUCUCUUCGUACAAAACGCACAAACACAAGUCUUUUAGCCAACGUAAACGAGAACAAAAGUAUGCAGCGGAAAACAACACACAAGCACGUUUACGGGCAAUGCCCAACAUUUAUAUUAGUUUCCAACAAAGAAUACAAAGGUGCACACACAAAAUCCUCACUCAGAAUGCCCACAAUUGCAAUCUGAACUCUCUAAUGCUAGAUGGGCAGUAUUUGUGCACUCAUAGCCAUAUAAAUACAAGAAAGAAUGUAGUUUUCACAUAAAACUACCUAAGGACACUUGGCAGCAUACUUGCUUGACACUUGGCUAACUAUUACAAGUAAUAAGGGGCAGUUUUUCAUGCUUUCCAGGCCUCAACUUGCUCCGCAACUUCCCUCAAAAUCGUCCAUAAGGCUGGUUUUCGAGGCCCAUCUUUGAUCGGGCGCGCGCGCGCGCACCGAACGGCCCAAAACAACCCGGCCGGUUGCUAGGCAGCCCACCUGCCUUGCCUUUUCGGCACAUUUUGCUCGCCUUGCCAAUUACUUGCCAGUUCUUUGCCCACACGGUCAUUAACACGCCCGCACAUCGGGCUGCCUUCCUUGACUUGCCAACCGGUCGUGCCAACUUGCCCACACUUGUCAAGUCGUGGUCGAUUUCCUUCGAACGCACGUUCGUUUGCCCAAGUUCUCGGCCACAUGCCGAUUACUGCCCACGCUUGUCCGCAUUCGCUGCCUAGCAACGCCGUGCCAACCAUAAGUACUUUCGAUCACCGUUCCCACUUCAAUCAAGCCGAUCCUUGCUUUCUCGGACAAACACCCCAAAUGCUUGCCCAACACUCGACCACUCAUUGGCCAAUUGUGUGGCUGUCUUGUGCCAACCCUUGCUUGGCACCAUUUCUCGGCCAUGACUCGGCCACACUGGAGUCAUAGCCGAUGUCACCGACUAAGGGGGUAACAGACCUCCCCCACCAACAGUGUUCGACGCCCUCGUCGAACCGACACCAUCAGCUUCAGCUUUCCCUCGUUUCCACUUAUCUUGCCACCGUCCUCGAUUGUGCUUGAUCCACAGCACCACAUCGAAAACCAAAUCCCAAGUCUGAUCCCACGAAUUUCCCACAAAUUCUUUCAGCCCUCGGAAAAUCGAACGCCAAUCGCGUUCAAACAACAACACCAUACCACAAGUGAAAAUGCUAGUUUUUGGCAUCACUAGCAUUUGAUCUCGAUUGUCACACCAAUCAAGAAAGGAGACCACCAACCCACGGAAAUCACCCAAACACGGCUUUCAUUUUCUCAACAACAGAAACCAGCCCAACAAAAAUCCAACACGCAACACAAAUUCAGAAGAUACCACAUUUCGAACCCGCGAAUUAUGCCACACACGACAGCAACUUGGAACAAAAGGAAGGCCGCAAUGCCCUUUCAUAAGCCCAACUAAAUACCUCAACUUGCCUUCGGCCUUUGUAUCAUUUCUCGGCAAUGCACGUACAAGCAAACGAGCCCGAGAAUUCACCGUUUUGUUUCCAACGACUGCAAUUAGGCUCGAUGACUCCUCGUCGUUCGAUUCUGCCUCCAAUUGCACCGCAACCAACAUUUCCACCGGUUUCUUUCCCGCUUUUGCUUUAGUCACGUACGAGCAUUCGACGAAGCAUGGACACUUUUCGUCCAUAAUCAUCAACCCUCCGAGAAAUGGUAUCACCGCAGCCUUGGCAGCAAGUAGGAACUCUUGCCCCAAUAUCACAUCGAAAUCAUCUAGUGGUACGACAGACAAUCCACACUGCCCUUUCCAAGAACCGAUCACUAAAUCAACAUCGGUUCUGCCCUUCACCGGCCCCGCCUCUGAAUUUACAGCCUUAACUUGACUUGUAUGUUUUGAGAGAGUCAAGCCCAGCUUCUUGACUUGCAUGUUUUGAGAUAGUCAAGCCCAGCUUCUUGACCUUUUCUUUCAGCAACGAAGUUAUGAGUUGCUCCCGAAUCAACCAUUGCCCUCACUUCCUUGCCAUUGAUCAGCACCGUGGCAUACAUCAAGCCCUUGGUGCCGUUGGGUGCCUUGUCCACGACCAAAGCACUCAACAACUGAAUCGGAUUUGCACGCCUCGUCUCAUCCGACUCUUCCUCACUAUCCGACUCCCGCAUCAAAGCGCCAACUGACGCAGAACGGAAGCACGAUAAAGAAUUAAUUUCUACGAAUUAAUCCUAUAGAACAAAAUAACAUUCGGAAUCCACCGAAAACUCUGGAAUCCACCAGAAAAAUAGAGAAAACUCUAAAUAUUUUAUUAAAAUUCGAAAUUCUUUUUAAAAUAAAGUCCUAAGGCAGCUAUUUAUACUAAAAAACUGAAAACCCUAAUUAAACUAAGUAAAUACUAAAAAUUACCAAAAAUGGCAAAAACGAGUUAAAAUCUGAUUCUAGUAGAUCUCGUAAUUUUGUGAACAACCCAAUUUACGGAAUCUUAAUCCGAUUUUUCUAUGAUUUGAUAUUAAUUUUCUAAAACUUGCAUAAAAUAGCAAAAACGAACUUUUAGGAGUCUAAACGACGUUGGAUUGCUGAAAUUUGACGUGAUUCACGAGCUUUGCUCAUGAGUUUUGUUCCUUGCGCCGUUUCACUUGAGAUAGAGUUCGUUUCGUACUCAAAUACAAUUUGAGUUCGAAGAAAACCCUUAUUUUUCAAUAAUUUCUUUCGAUAUUUCCACCAAUGCCCAUAAAUAACUCUUCUCCGAAUCAAGUAGUUAUUUUGCAAUUCGAAUCCAAUUUGACGUUCCUUAUCAAUUCAACUUGCUCCUCUUAGGAGAGUCCCUCAUCCGGUGGUUGCCAUCACAUAGAAAACAACCACGGUUUUGUUUGUUGACAACGGGUUGUCCACCGGAAUUGGCCUGCACCGUGGAUCCCUCGCCAUCACCGCUCUCUUUUUGCUUCCAAUUACGGCCACCCUUGCCACCGAACUUAUUUCCCUUGGACUUAUCCUUCUUCGAGCCUUCCUUAUCGGAAUCAUCGGGCCAUAUCACCUUGUAAUCGACAAGUCGAUCUGCUGCCGAAAUGGCACUUGGCAGAUCCUUCACGCCUUGUCUGCCGAAAUACGACGGUCCUUUUGAAGUGGUGUCAAAAGUUGGCCGAGUUGCCUAUCGGUUGAAGUUGCCGGACAGAUUGAAAGUGCAUCCUAUGUUUCAUGUGAGUUUCUUAAAUAAGUUCAACCAAGAUUUACUCGAUGAAAGUCGGAAGCAAACGAAGAGAGCCCCACCCGUGGUCCGAAAGGAAUUUGAGAGAGAAAUUCAGCAAAUUCUGGACCACAAGACCCAAGGUCAAAGCAAGAAGAACCGGCGGACUGAAUUUUUAAUACAUUGGAAAAAUUCAGAGGUGGUCGAUGCUACUUGGGAGAAUGCAGUGAAUCUGUGGCAGUUUGAAGACGAGUUGGCAAAGUAUUGGGAUAAUUUGAAGCGGGUGAACAGUUCGACGAGCGCGUCGAACACCGUUGGUGGGGGAGGUCUGUUACCCCCUUAGACGGUGAUAUCGACUAUAACUCGAGUGUGGCCGAGUUAUAGUUGAAAUGGUGCCAAGAAGUUUUGGCACAAGGCAAACUACACAUGGGCCAAACAGUGGCUGAGACUUGGGCAAGUAUUGAGGUGCUUGGCCGAGAAUUACAAGGCAAGGGUUUCGAGUGAUUGGCAAGCAUUGAGAUGCUUGGCCGAGAAAGGCAUGGCAAGUGUGGGCAAGGCAAGCGGGCUGAAUUGCACGCGUGCGGGCGGAUUCGAUCCUUGGGCAUGCGCGCGUGCCGAUUGGGCAAGCCGGGCAGCUAAUUGACUCGGGAAGUUAAGGAAGGCAGUUGCGGAGCGGUUGGCAUCAGCAAUGGCUUAGAAAACCGUCCAUUUAUGUUGUAUUAGUGAGCAAAGUGGCUGGCCUGCGUGCCGCCAUGUGUCCUUUGGCAGUUUAGUGUGUAGACUGCAUUGUAACUUGUAUUUAUAGGCCCUAGAGUGCACAAAUCCGACCCAUUCAGAUAGAGGGACUCAGAUUGCAAUUGUUAGCAUCUGUUGUGAGGAUUCUUUGUGUGCACCAAGGGCUUUCCUUGUAUUGUUCGUGAGUGAAUCAAUAAAGGUUGAGCGUUGCUCGUAAAUUGCUUGUGUUGUUCGAUUUCCGCUGCAUACUUGUGAUUGUUGCUGUUCAUUUGAUACAACGAUGGUGCCUUACGUUUGUGGGAAGAAUUAUUGAGUAGGCUGACUGAUUUAGUGCGUAAAUCAGGCCGUACGGUGUGAAAAUUUCGAUUAUAAGUUAACCCCUGUAACACCAGCCACAGUUGAAUAAUUUGAAUUUAAAACGUCAGAAAUUGUGAAAUCACAUAAUAAAGUAUUUAUUUAUAAACGAAAAAGAAAGGGUGAGGCCCAAAGAUAAAAGCCCAGGAAUGAGGAGAGGUAUGACACAAACAGCCCAGCCCAACUUAAAUGACUAAUCACGAGCAUUCAUUAUCCAUCAUCGCUACCUUUUCCUUUAAUGACCAACUCACGCGCCACCUGCCAAAAUGUUCAGCCAAUCAUAGAUUUGGCUAUUCUACGCGCGAACCAGAGAGCGUGAUGUUUCUCGAUAGGCCCGAAAACUACGGUCGGAAAUUGCAGAAUAUUGGAGCUUGGCAUUCCUUUCUCUUUUUUUUUUUCUUUUUUUCUUUUUAAUUUCAGCGGCUCUCCAUUUCUAACGGGUUUUUACGCACUUGUUACUUUUUUUUUUUCUUUUUCUUUUUGGGUAAAUAUUGGUACGCACUCUUUACACGCACUAAUUGCAUUAUUUCUCUGUAAAAAACAAGUCCAAUAAAAAAACAAUUUAUACAAACGAAUCUGUUGAUUGUUGAUAAAUAAAUAUAGAUAUAGAUCAUAUUUAGAGAGAAGAUAGAGAGAGUGGCCGUGCAAAUUAACGGGCACCACCCUCGAACACCAUCACCAUCAAAUUUCAUAAUUUUGAAUACUCAAUAAUAGGACAAUUUAUUUAAAAAAAAAAAACCUCCAUCCAUUUAUUGCUGAGAAGGAGAACAACUCAUCGCAGAACCGGCUCUUGUUUCCAAAAGCUUUCUCCUUUCUUGGUCAACGGGGGUGUUUGCAGGUAAAGAUUUGAUCUUUUUAUAUUUUUACCCAAUCCCACAGCAUUUCAUACAUUCCCCUUCUUCUUUUUUUUUUUUUUUUUUUUUUUUUUUUUUUUUUUUUUUGUGUGUGUGUGUAUGUCUUUGCAUAAUUAUUUAUAGGGUGGUGUUUUGAUUGAGGGAAGAUGCAGCAACAUUUAUUCAAUACAAUGCGUAGUUUGAAGAUGAUAGAUGGGUGCAAAGGAACCCAAGUGUACGCCCUUAAUCCCACGGCCAGCGGAGGUGGUGGAGCAGCCGGCGGUGGCGUGGGUGAGAAAUUCUUGCAGCAUUUGCAAGACCAUUUAAGGGUUAAUUCAAUUAGGUCGAAAUCUCAUCGGCGUUAUCAGAGUUUCUCUCAAACCAAUAAUGUGAAUCCAAGUGUUCUAGCGGAGGUUCUUGCAAUCUACGGGCUUCCCCAGUCGGAUCUCAUCGAACCCCAGAUUGAUCCGUCUCUCAAAUUUGUUGAUUUUGUGGGAAUUCUAGCCGAUGUUCAUACAAAGCUUGAGAAUUGCCCUGAAUUCGAGAGAUCAGGUGUGUAUAUGGAGCAAUGCGCAAUCUUCAGGGGAUUGCCUGACCCUAAAUUGUUUAGGAGGUGUCUUCGAUCAGCCAGGCAACACGCUGUCGAUGUGCAUUCAAAGGUUGUACUUUCAGCUUGGUUGAGAUUCGAGAGAAGGGAGGAUGAGCUGUUUGGUGUGUCAGCAAUGGAUUGUAGUGGUUGGAGUAUGGAAUGCCCCAAGACUUCAUUGGUAUCGGGGUACAAUCCCGAGUCUGCACAUGAUAUUUGUUCGUGUCAAAAUGGCUUGGAAAAAGACGGGGCUAUGGAAUCUGAUUUACAAGGCCAAGAAUGCUCGACUUCGAUUAGCUACAAUGAUGAUGAUGAAGAGGAUGAUUAUGAUAUGUGGUUCUGCAUUGGGGAUGAUGAGGUUAAAUGUAAUAGAUACAAGAUUGCUUCUCUCUCCAGACCGUUCAAAUCAAUGUUGUACGGUUCCUUCAUGGAAUCGAAAAAGGAGCGGAUAUAUUUUGCUCAGAACGGGAUUUCUGCCAAGGCGAUGAGAGCUGCAGAGGUGUUCAGCAGGAUUAAGAGCGUGGAUUCUUUCGAUCCAAAUGUUGUUUUUGAACUCCUGGUUUUGGCUAACAGGUUCUGCUGUGACGAAAUGAAAUCUGCGUGUGAUGCAUAUCUUGCAGCUCUGGUUGAUGAUAUGGAUAGUGCUGCACUGCUUGUUGAGCAUGGGCUUGAGGAGACUGCAUAUCUCCUUGUGGCAGCUUGCUUGCAGGUAUUUCUGAGGGAACUUCCAAGUUCGAUGCACAAUCCAAACGUGACUAGACUCUUCUGCAGUUCAGAGGCACGUGAAAGAUUAGCAUCGGUGGGGCAUGCUUCUUUUUUGCUCUACAGCUUUUUGAGCCAAAUAGCAAUGGAAGAAGAUAUAAAAUCUAACACAACAGUAAUGCUGUUGGAAAGGAUGGGGGAGUGUGCUACCGAGAAUUGGCAGAAGCAAUUAGCUUUCCACCAGUUGGGCUGUGUGAUGCUCGAAAGGAAAGAAUUUAAGGAUGCUCAGAAGUGGUUCGAGGCAGCUGUUGAAGCAGGUCAUGUUUAUUCGUUAGUUGGUGUGGCAAGAGCGAUAAACAAGCGGGGCCACAAGUACAAGGCGUACAAGAUGAUAAACUCCCUAAUUUCUGACUACAACCCCUCAGGGUGGAUGUAUCAGGAAAGAUCUCUGUACAGUAGUGGUAAAGAGAAAAUGAUGGAUCUUAAUACGGCUACCGAAAUGGACCCAACUCUCUCUUAUCCUUACAAGUACAGAGCUGUCUCGAUGAUGGAGGAUGACAAGAUUGGUGCUUCGAUAUCCGAGAUUAACAAGAUAAUUGGUUUCAAGGUCUCCCCAGACUGCCUUGAGCUGCGUGCUUGGUUCUUGAUUUCAUUAGAGGACUAUGAAGGAGCUCUGACAGAUGUUCGGGCACUUCUAACAUUGGACCCUCAGUACAUGAUGUUUCAUGGUAAAUUGCACGGCGAUCAGUUGGUGGAGAUUCUACGCCACCAUGUGCAGCAGUGUAAUCAAGCUGAUUGUUGGAUGCAGCUAUAUGAUAGGUGGUCUUCGGUAGAUGAUAUUGGCUCUUUAGCUGUUGUGCACCAUAUGUUGGCUAAUGAUCCUGGGAAGAGCCUUUUAAGGUUUCGGCAAUCUCUCCUCUUACUGCGGCAAGUGUACUUUUUAUCAUGUUUUUUAAGUUUUCAAUUUCAAUUAAUUGCAUCAAACUGCUGUAAAUAAUUAACUUGUGUGUACCGGGGUACAGAUUAAACUGCCACAAGGCUGCUAUGAGAAGUCUGAGGAUGGCUAGAAAUCACGCAGCGUCUGAGCAUGAAAGACUUAUCUACGAAGGAUGGAUUUUGUACGACACUGGUUAUCGUGAAGAAGCAAUAGCAAAAGCUGAAGAAUCCAUCUCAAUCCAGAGAUCAUUCGAAGCAUUUUUCCUAAAAGCGUAUGUUCUGUCUGAAACAACAACGGAUCAUGAGUCAUCAUUCUAUGUUAUCCAACUCCUCGAGGAUGCUCUCAGGUGCCCGUCUGAUGGUCUUAGGAAAGGACAAGUAAGUGUUAAUCUUCUAAAAGACUGUUGGUAUGCCCUCGUUUGUUAAAUAUUGACAUGAUGUGAUCGAUUAUCGCAGGCUUUAAGCAAUCUAGCAAGUAUAUAUGUAGAUGUGGAGAAACUAGAUCAUGCAGUUGACUGCUACAUGAAUGCCCUAAACAUUAAGCAUACACGGGCACAUCAGGGGCUGGCCCGUGUUUACCACCUGAAAAAUCUAAGGAAAGCUGCAUAUGAUGAGAUGACCAAGUUGAUCGACAAGGCAAGAUACAAUGCAUCGGCUUAUGAGAAACGUUCUGAAUAUUGUGACCGUGAAAUGGCCAAAAGUGACCUUAGCAUGGCAACCCGAUUGGAUCCUUUAAGGACAUAUCCUUACCGAUACCGGGCUGCCGGUAAGUCUUUCACCUUUUCCUUUUUUUCCCACUUAAUGAGCAAUGAAUGGUAAACAAAAGUUGCACUUUGAUGUUAUUUGGCUAGAUUGGUAUGGAUUAUGUAUGAUAAGAUGUACCAUAACAGAGGAAAUAUUGCAAAAUCUUCAAGUACCAUCCAUAACAACUUAGUAUCUAUCUCCAGAGGGUGUUACAUUUUAGGUAGACAUUGAAUCUAAAUUUAGACCAAAAAAGGCUAACAAAUAAUAAUGUGUUUCAGUAUUGAUGGAUGACCACAAGGAAGCUGAAGCAAUAACAGAGCUGACAAAAGCAAUAGCAUUCAAGCCGGACCUGCAGCUGCUUCAUCUUCGUGCAGCAUUCCAUGAUUCAAUGGGUGAUUACUCAGCCACACUCAGAGACUGUGAGGCAGCCCUUUGUCUUGAUCCUAAACACACUGACACUAUUGAACUUCAUCAAAAAGCACAAAAACGGGCCGACGAACAACCUAAGUGAUAAACAGAGAGCAAUAUUUGGUGGUGGAGGAUACUUUUAGUAUUCUUGUGCAGCUAUAUUUUUAUCAGCUGUUGCCAUUUUAUUGCACGACUCUCUCGGAGAUAGAUGGAUCCAUUUUCUCCUCUGAGCUUUGCUCUUAGAACCAUUGUGCUUGGACUGGUCAUCAAUGAUCAUCUGCCAAAACCAAUUAGGUGAAAUUGUAAAAAAAAAAAACGAAGGGGGAAGAGAAGAAAAAGCUGAUGAUGCCCUGUGAACCCAUUAUACACACUUCUUUUUUAUUUUUGUUUAUUUUUGUUUAUUUUUAUUUUUUUCGUUUUCUUGGCAAUGGUAAAUGGAUGAGCACACGUGGCAUUCAGUAAAAACUGAUGAUACUAAAUUUAUGUUUCAUUUGAAAGCAAGUGAUUCACCACCUUUUAGAAGUAAAUAUGUAGAUUGAAUUACAAACUGUGAUCAGACUAUCUAUUUCUUGUGUUUUCCUCCUGGUUGACUUUUUUUCUUCUGUUUUCUAAAAGUUUGUUUAUAUACAACAUUUCUUGUUUUGUUUAUUUCUCUUACACUGAUAUAUGUAUCAUGUAUGUAUUAUGAGAAUUGGAUACAGCAACAAGCUUUUUUGCAGUUAGAAAGACAACUUUUAGCAGAGUAAGUCCACGAGAUAUCCACCAAUUACAACUGUCCAGUCUGCAGCUAGCUACUUUCUUAAAGUUUCCUAUACUUAUUAAUGAAUCAUUCAAACAAAUCCUAUCAUAUUAUACUUGACCACAAAAAAUAAGUGUUAUUUCUGCCCACAUGGAGGAAAACAAGAAGCAAAUUCUACAGGGGCAGCGCCCCCAAAAGCUGAACUUGAAUGCUCCCCUUCUAUCAACUAGGCGCCCCUUUUCUUUGCAUGAAACCACCACCACCACCUCCUCCUCAAACUACACUACCAAUAUGGUUCCGUUUUCUUGGGAAAGAAUCGCCGGUGAGCCUAAAGACAAGGAAACAAGUGACGACAGUAUUGAGCCACCGCCACCUCCACCUCCAAAACUUCCACCAGGGCGGUGGCAGCCUCCUGUUGUGGAAGAGGUUAACGGUGCAACGGACCAUGCCUUUGAUGGAUGCUAUGAUGUUGAUGAAGAAGAAUAUGGCCAUAGUGACAUUUUCUCAUUGGCUGAAUCAAUAGUUAAUGACGUUGAAGUAAAUUGCGCAACGACAAAUGACAGAAGCUCAACUAUACUUGAUGGAUACUGUCAUUCACCGAAUUUCAUCAUACAGAGAUUUCUUCCGGAUGCACAGGCCUUAGCUGAAGCGUCUGUUGUAAAUAAGAAAGUUCCGUUUUCGACAUCUCCACACGCUAAUGGUUCUUUGUCUAGAGCUGUUAGCAUCAAUAGGAGAUCGUACCAUUCGCCAAAGGGAUGUGGAUUAGGUGGUUUGUUUCCAUGGAAAAUGAAGGCUAAACCGUGUAGUGUUAAGAGCCCUGUUUGUGAUACAAUCAUAGGAACCAAUCCAAAACAUAAUCGCUAGCUGAUCCCAUUAUUUGAUUCUCUAUAUAAAGUUAGAAUUGCCAAUGACAUGUAUAUAUCAUUUUAUCUUUAUUUCACAAACUUAUAUAGAUAUCCUUUUAUUUAUCUAUAAUCUCAUUUAUUUUAUCAGGUCUAGCUAAAAGUUAACAUGUUACAAGCUAGGCUAAUUUGGAAGGAAACUUCUUGUCAAACGUAUAAAAACGUUGUUUAUAUUAUUUCAGUUCCAUUGUCGAUGUAUUCCUUUGCCCCAUCCCAUGGAUGAUCAGUUUAUCGAAAACUCUCAUUUUUUAUUUUGCAAUUUAAUUAAUAUUACAAUUCAUAUUGCAAUAUUUUUUUUUGAUGAGAAUUCAUAUUGCAAUAUAAUCUAUACAUUAUUAUUAUAAUUAUUAUUUUUGAUAGAAUAUAAUCUAUACAUGAUCAGCUAAUAUAAAGAUUAGUAAUAAAGAUAGAAUGUCCUUCCUAUAUAUAUGCUUGCCGUCAUUAAAGUAUUUAGAAGCAAUUAACGUUCGACAAUUUAAUUUAAUGGUAAUCAUGUAUCUACCUACCGGAUUCAAAAGAAGCAGAAGAUAUUGUCCCUACAGAAGAUGAUGCAAAUGUUGCAGCUCCUGUAGUAGUAGUAAUGCUAUCACUAUCAGCACUUAAUGCUAAUGCCAAGAAUCUUGAAGUAACUUGAUCAAGUCUUCUCGAUCCAGCUGAGCUCAACUGAUCAAACAAGGGCAUAACUUCGUCUCCGUUGAGAUAUUUAAUCACUUGUCUCAUUGUAGGCCUUGCCUCUGGCUUUGGGUGUGAACAAAGAAGCCCUAAUCCCAGCACCAACUCCAUCUCUUCACUCGCAUACAUAGAUGAGUUCAAUUUAGGAUCAACUGCAUCAAAAAUAUUCCCCAUUUGCAUACACUCUGCCACCCAAUCCACCAAGAUUACAUUGCGGGCAGCCUCAUAAACGACUGGGGCCCGCCCGCAGGCCAACUCAAGCAGGAGAAUCCCAUAAGCAAAGACAUCAGUGCCCUUGGAAGCCUUACCUAUUCGAGACAACUCGGGUGCAAUGUAGCCUAUUGUGCCCACAACGUUUGUGGUGUGUGAGGCUUUCCCAUGGUCGUAUAAUCUUGCAAGCCCGAAAUCUCCUAAUUUGGGGUUCAUUUCGUGGUCGAUCAAAACAUUGCUCGACUUGACAUCACGGUGAAUGACAACUUGCUCCCACUCCUCGUGCAAGUACAAGAGCCCAGAUGCAACACCUUUGACAAUGUUGAAUCUCUGAUCCCAAGUGAGCAGUAAAUUGGGGUUGGAAUGGGUGUAGAGUAGAGAAUCGAGACUUCCGUUGGAGACAUAUUCAUAGACGAGGAUGAGGUCGUUGUUGUGCUUGCACCAUCCUUGAAGAUUGACCAAGUUCUUGUGCCUUAAUCUACCAAGGCUCUCGAUUUCUGCAGCGAAUUCCCUCAUCCCUUGGAGUGGAUUGUUGGACAUGAUCUUUUUAACUGCAACCUCAGCCCCAGUGGAAGGUAAAACACCCUUGUAAACCGCUCCGAAUCCGCCAGAUCCAAUUUUCUCAGUUUCAUUAAAUCCCUUAGUGGCCUUGUGAAGAUCCCUGUAACGGAAUCUGUGAGGACAGUCCAACUCCCAAUCCUCCAUCACCUCAAGCUUCAUCACUUUCCGGUAAAACACUGUGAAUAAGAGUGAGACUAACAGGACGAAGAGGAUAACAGAAAACGUGGCAAUAAGUGCCUUUUUCAAGUCAACGUCAAUGGAGCUAGAAGGCAAUAUCUUGUCAGGUAUAACAGGAAGCUGGGAUAGAUCGAGUGGAUCGGCUGUCCCGUUAAGACGAAAACUCCAUCCCAAGAUGUAAUGAUAGCUUGAUACCUGUCCUGUGGCGGCAGAGAAACCAGCGUACAUGGUAUCCAGGAGUACAUCGGACAAAUCGAUUUCCCCGGUGAUCAAAGGUCGAAGUGGCUUAGGAACAACGCGUAGAGGAGAAACAGUUACAUUGACAAGUUUAGUGAAAGCAUCGUAGUCAAUCCAUGCCUGGACCGGACCAUAAUUCUCCAAAGGAAAAUCCUCGUUCUUGGCUCGGGUACCAUCAACAGAAUAAGAUGCUGGUUGAUGAAAAGUGGAGUUCAUUCCAUUGAUGUUGAUCCCAACAUGAUUCCCGUCUGUGUCUGAGGUGUCGUUGUAACCAUUAACAGUGUCGAAUUCGACCAUGAAAAUGUGUUUGGAAGGAGUGUAUCUGUUGGAUUCAUUGAAUACACCCAAGUAAUGGCCGGGGGAUGCACCUGGGAAACUUGUGGAGGGGGAUAGAGUGAAGGCUAGGCCAUAACCACCCCGGUUAGAGGUGGAGGGUACUAUUUGGAAUACAAAAUAUGUGCUGAAAGAGGUUGAAUUAAUUGAUAAUAUGGGAAUUGGUGUAGGAUGAAAUGCAUGGCCGAUGACGUUUUCUGAAUUGUUGGUGAGCCUGAGUGCUCCGCUGGGUUUGAUAACUGUGGCUCCUGCUUCUACCAUAUUUGAGUCGUUGAAUCCAUUGUACACGAAUUCAAACGAUUCAGAUAACAAUAAAAGGUUGCACAUCAUCAACAACGCAGUAGCAGUAGCAGUAGCAGCCAUAUAUGGAUGGCUAACUAGGGAAUUAAUUAAUAUGGAUGGAUACCUACUAAAUUCCUGGGGAGCUAGCUUUCUUGUGAUAUAAAUUAUAAUUGGUGGGGGAGAGAGAGAAUAUAGAUAUGAAAAAGUUGAAUAGUUGACUGUCAACGCGUAUAAAAUAUAAUUGGCAUAGUGGCAAUGCCAUUGAAAAUGGGGCAACGAAAAUUGGAGCUACUCAUUAUGGGAGAGUUGAGUCACUGUCUGUACACUGCCCACAUCCAAAUAAACUACCUACAAGUUUGAACUGUUGCCUUUUCUAGAAAUUGUAGCUUGACUUUGACUUUAUUCCCUAACAACCCCUUUAUUUAUAACCUUUAUUAUCCUCUAAUCAUGUUAAUUAGUCUUUUUUACAAGAGUUUACUUACACAUUCAUUAUUAUGGCAUGAUUAAGAUAGUCAUCAGUAUAAGUUGAAAGCAGUUAAUUUGUGAUUAAUCAAAUGAUUGGCUAUUCUUAAAUACCUACACAAUGAUCAUCAUAAUUCACCAUUGAAAUACAUAAUAAUUAAUACUUUAUUUUGUUGACUUGUUAUUUCCAACUAUAUAUAUAUAUAUACAUUUUGUCUUUUCUUUUAAACCACACAUUUCUUUUUUAAAUUUAUUUCUUUUUCAUUUUUCCUUUUGUUGGAGAAUUAUUUGAGCUUCAACUUCCAAGUUUGUUGUUUGACGCGUGAGGAAGAAGAGUUCCUGUUGAACAAGUUUCCAUUGUUUCAAGUCUGUGUAAUGUAAUGUGGAUCCACUUCCACCGGGUCAGACUCAGUCCCGUUCCGGGUUGGGUUAGGAGAAAAAGUCAACAAUGGAAGGCCGCGGGAAAAGGAAGCUAAAGUGAUGGGCUUACCUUAUAAGUGAGUGCCCAAAACAAAACAAAAAACGUCGACAGCAGGAUUCGAACCUGCGCAGGCAAAGCCCAACAGAUUUCGAGUCUGUCUCCUUAACCACUCGGACAUAUCGACUGAUGAUGACAUUAAGUUCGACUAAUACAUAAUGUUGUUUUUCAGUCCUUUAAGUAAUAAAUGUGGAAUCCAACCAACAUCUGAUUACACAUCAUCAAGCCAUAUGAUAUGAUUGAUGCAUGCAACUAGAAAUCAGCUGCUAGCCUGCUACUGAUGCAGAAUUAAACUCACUGCAUCAAAGAAAGAGUUGGACUAAUUAAUUAGAUUGGAUCGGAGGAGAUGAGUACGUAGUUGUAAAUUAAAUAGUUGGAACUUAGCUUGGAAGAUGAUAAACUUGUCACAAGUCUAGAUUAUGCCAUGUAUGUUGGUUUUUCCAUUUAACUAAUAGAUUAACACAUCGGCCAACACGAAGCUGUAUAUAUAGUUACUAAUUCUUACAUAUAUGGAAUAUGUUUUGAAACAUAUCAAGUGCACAUCGCAAUAUUGAAACUAAUACAUAUAUAUGAUCGAUCAUUAAUAUAAUAGAACUAUAUUAUUAUUAUUAUUGUUAUUAGGGAGUACUUCAAAUUUUGUAUUCAUUCCAAAACAAGCGUCCCCGAUUCAUUAAUAAGUAGUCUUAGGGAUUGGUAACUUGGGGUGUAGAAAUUGGUGCUGCUUCAGAUGAGUUGAUGGUUAAAGAGGUAGAAAUAGUAGAUGAUUUGCAAGCAUUUGGCUUCUUAUAUCCUCCUCUGUAUGCUUUGCAAAUGUAGCCUACAAAAUUCUGAUAAUCCUGCAUAUAUCAAACAAAACAAAAUAAAUUCGAUCCCCUUACAUGCAUUUAUAUAUAGUAUGUGUAAUUAAUUUGAGAUGGAUGGAUCGGAGCUGGGGGACUGACUUGUUGAAGAGGAAAAUUGUUGACAAGCACCCAUGGCACAAAUUUGUGUCUUGGAUUCAGAUUAGCCGUUUCAUCAGCAUAUGUUUUCUCAAGCUGCGGUAUGGUACAUUAAUCAACAAUUAACAAGUUUUAGAGGAGAUAAUAUAUAUAUAAUGAAAAAUCAUGGUAACUCAGGUGAGGCCUAAUUAUAAUGGCUAAUUAAUAUGAACAAUCCUAAUAAAUCGGAAAAUAAACGAACCUGAUAUCCGAGGCCGUUAUUGUAGCAAUUAUCAAGGGGUUUAGGAUCAAAACCAUUUGAAGCAAAACAAGAUUGCCACUGGGUGUGCUUGUUCAUCAAAUGCAGUCUCUCUACGCAGUAUAUGAACCUGAAAUGAGUCUCCUGCAACAAACAUUUUUAAAUAAAAAUAAAAUAAAAAAUAUAUAUAGGCACUGUUAAUAUCUAUCACCUACCACUUGAGGCCACUCAUUUAUUGCACAUGCUUCUGUAACAUCCAGCUUACACUCGUCUAUACCAUGCUGCCGAAAUAUUGUUAACACAAAAAACCAUCAAAUAUAUAUUAUUUGAUGAUUAAAAGAAAGAAAAAAAAAAACAGGGGAAAUGAAACCUGGCAAAUCCAGGUAUCGUUGGGCUGAAUUUGAGUGUUGCCCCAGGGGAUUAGCCUGAGAUUGACAAUGUUGAUGAGAUCUGUCUGAAAAAUGUUGACGAGAUGGUUGACUAUGAAGUUUGCACAAUAUGGGCACAGAGAUUCAUAGUAGACAGAGAGAUUAACCCUGUUUGAAAUGUCGGAGAAGGGAUCAUGAUUAUCAGUUUCCAUAAUACGGGCAGCAGAUGCAUGAUGAUGAUGAUGAUGAGGUGGUUGUGAUAUUAUGAACAAAACCAGAAAUACAGAUAUUAAGACAGUUAGAGUACUGCUGCUGAAACUAUGGAGUUGUCUUUCAGAAGACAUCAUCAUUUCCUUUUUUAAAAGUAACACUCUCUCUCUCUUUCUGUGUAUCUGUGUUUUUAUAUAUGGUGGGUGGGUGUGGGUGUGGGUGUGUGUGUAAUGAGUAAUGUGUAUUAUGGAUGGCAUCAAGCAACGGUGUGGCUAUUAAGUAGUGAUCACUCAACUUGAAUGGCUUUUUCUUUUUCAGAUGGCUUUCACUUUAAUGCAAUUUGCCACCUUCUCACCAUAAUUAACUACUAAACGGAGUACUAGUACUACAGACUACUGUUCAAUCAAUGCUCAUCUUCUCUCUCUCUCCCCCACCCUAUCUCUCUCUCUCUAAAUAAAUUUACAUUUAAAUUGGGGUUGUGGUUGGUGAAUUGAUGUAGUGGACAUUAAUUAAUGGAGAGUUUGACUGGGCUAAGAAGUAAAAGCCCAUUGUUGUGGUGGCCCAUUAACUGAGCCCAUCACUCUUUCCAUUGUUGUAUACUCAUCACUCCCUUAAUCCCAUUAUUUCUCACUCCCACUCCACUGAACUCAAGGAAGGUAAAAAACUUGUGUGUCUCCUAUGGCUUCGAUUAAUUUCAAUCCCUUCAACGACAACUGGUUUAGAAACCCACCUAAGCUUCCCUUCCAAAUCCAAAUCCAAUCAAUCAACCUCCUCUCCUCUUUCUUUAACCCCGCUCCUUCUUCUCAAACCCCCAAUUUCGCUUCCAUUUCUAAUCCCUUUUCCAAGAAACCAAAUUCUGACCCCGAUAAAAAACCUGGCAAGUACCGCCAAAUGCUCGACCAAUUCUACUGGGAGUGCGAAAACUUACCAGAUUACCGACACGCCCCUGAGGUCGAGAGGAUUUUGCAGGAAGACCCUAUUGCCGAAAAGAAGGAAAACCCCACCCAGGAGGAAAUUGAAGAGAACGAGCAAUGGUGGGCUGACUUUCGUAGUAACCCAGUUGUGCAGUUUUUGACCCGCGCCGAGGAGAUCGCUGAUAAGCUCAAUGAGAUUGAACUUCAGGAGAAUUCUGUUCCCUACCGGAAAGAAGAUAAGAAACUCUGGCAGGUAUUCUUUUCCUCGGACUGUUUUUUAAACUUGUCUAGUGGUCUAUCUUCUUCUAGAAAAUUGGAGUUUGAGUUUUACUACUUGUCUAAUUAAUUCUGUGAAGGCAGUGCCGAAUAUAAUGGGGCUGGAUGGGAGGCCAAUGCCAAGGAAAGCUAUAAAAACGAAGAGGGAAUCGGAUGAUAAGUUUUGGGAUUUUGCAAGGCAGUUCUUUUUUGGUCUUUGGGGGUUCAGGCAGCGGCCCUACCCACCCGGUAGGCCUAUUGAUGUCUCCCAGGCUAUUGGUUAUAAGAAACUUGAGAACCGUUAUUACGACUGUAAGUUCACUAUACCUUUCAGGUUCCGAAUUACUAUGUUUCUUCUUAUUACACUAGUAUAGGAAAAUGUUUCUUCUUUUCGUAUUGAAAAGUUACAAAAUAUAUUCUUGUAGAUUCUUAUGGAUGUUGGUUUUACAAUAUUAUGGUGUUAAAUGAAUUGUCCAAAUUCCCAUGUUGACUGAAUUGACACAUUGAUUUUGGCAAUAUAAAUCAUUUGAUAUAGAAAAUUGGUUUUAUGAUAGUUGUGAUGAGAAGUGGUGGGUGGUUCUACAAGGAUAGAUUGGGUCGUUCAAGAGGACCAAUGGAAUUAAUACAGCUGAAAACAGCUUGGGGUGCUGGAAUAAUUGACAAGCAUACAUUUAUAUGGGGUGAUGACUUGGAUGAAUGGGCACCUAUUAGCAUGGUGUAUGGUAUGGAGCGUGCUAUUGCCACUUGGGAAGGUUUGUAUUUACUGCAACGUGUUGAUAACCCUAGUCUAGUUAGUUCCCCUGUAAUAAAAAUGAAUGGGUGGUUUGGGGUUUUCAGUUAGGUUAGGUGCAGCAGCGACAGCAUGUCUGCAUAAACUGCAGAAAGGAAUAGCACCAUGGGUACCUCUGAAGGGGCAUGAGGUGAAAACAUAUAAGCAGGUACAGGAAGAGGCGUACGAGAGCAAAAGACGUGACUUAGCAGUUCUUGAGGCGAAUGAUGGUGUUUGGCCAGGUAUGAGGACUCCUAGUCAUGCACUGUUUCUAUGGGCAAGUGGAUCUGAGUUGACGACACUUUUAGAAGAGGACCACAUGCCCAACAAAUUCAUCCCAAAAGAUCUAAGGGUGCAACUUCAAAAAGUAAUACCUGGGUUGAGACCGUGGGAGGUUCUCAGCAUUGAACAAGCUAUGGAUAGGAUAACGUAUGGUGGUAAAUGGUACCGUGAACCUCUUGGUAGUUACACUACCGGCCCUCCUUACAUUGCCGAAUGGAACAAAGAUGUCAUGGUAUGUAUUUAUGUCUGUUCGUCUAGAUUGUAAAUUCUCCCUCGGAAAUUACAAACAUGUUUUGUAAAAUUGUUUGGUGGUUGUUUGCAGAGACUGUUUGAGAUAUUCCAUAGCCUGAGUGUUCAAACAUACAACAAACUGGAGAAGACAAUUCCAGGUUUCGACAAGAUUAUGGACAAAGUACAAGAAGAUGCUGCUCAAAGGGCUGCCUCUAGGGAGGCAAUCAGGGCCGCCGAAAAGAUGUCUGGGAAGAAGAAGACCAUUCCUGACCGAGAUCGAAGCAAUUUAAAGCAGCUCUAGCUCUAGCUCUAGCUCUAGCUGCUGCUGCUCAACUUUUUUUUUUUUUUUGGUUGCUUCAGGGCAUGCUUUAUUUCUCUGAAAUAGUUUUGGCUCAAGAAUUCCUUCAAACUGAUCAUUAUAUGACGUGUCAUUAGAAUUUUUGAAUUUAUUGUUGACUUGUUGGUUACUUAUUUAGCAGAAGAUCCACAUCCACUGAGAGCAUUAAAAUAUCCAUGUACAUAAUUUAGCAAUUCUAGUAACCGACUUAUCAGAUAAGUAACCGACUUGUCAGAAGAGGAGACAAUUGCACAUGCAUGCAUCUUAUUGGAUACUCUAGCUACUCUCCGUUCAGUGUUGAGUGUGAUUAAAAAUAUAAAGGACACGUGGAACACUCCCCGAUGCAAGGGUCUUUAUAUAAAGGACGUUUGUCCGAGAUGCAUUAAUAAUAGCAAAAGAUCGAUAGAUAGAUAGAUAGAUAGAUAGAUAGAUAUAUAGAUAUAUAGAUAUCAAAACAUAAAGAAAGAGAUAUCUCUGUUAAUUAAUCCGGAGGAGAUGGAAGAUGAUGGUGUAACAGAGUUUAAAGAGUUGUUGGUUUUGGAUAUUCCAGCAGGUGAUCAAGAUGGGAAGGAGGACAUAGGUUGUGAUGCCGAUGCCGAUGCCGCUGCCGGAAAAAGUGAAGAUAAUUCAAGCGGUGGUGGCGGGAUGUUAAGUGAGUUGAUCUGUGCAUUGGUUUCAAGAGAUGACAUCGGAGAAAAGGAAGAAGAAGCAGAAGAGGAGAGUAAUAAUAAUAAUAAUAAUAACAAUUUGGUUUCUGAAAUAUUACAUCAAAGUGGAGGCGGAGAACAUAAUGAACAUGAUGAAGACGAUGGAAAUGAGUCACAAUUAGGUUUAAUUGAUACUAUUAUCUCUCACUUGCCUUCACCUCUUGAUGGUAUGCAUCUACCUAAUUUCUUCCUCCUACAUUAUUUAAUUAAUUUAUCAUAAUCAUAUAUAUAUAUAUAUAUAUAUAUAUAUAUUCUUGGCGCUGGGCUUGAUUUUGUUUUUUGUUGAACAUACAUAACAGAUGAUGCUGCUCCAGCUUCAGACGAAGCUUGUAUUUUAAUCCAUUCUAUUGUUCACGAUUAGCAUCACUUUUCUUCUUCUUUUUUUUUUUUUUUCCCCUUUUCCCCUUUUAUUUUUCCUUUUAUUUUUUUUUUUUUGUGAGAAAAAUAUAAAUAAAUAAAAUAUGAGGAGCAGUAAGUAUGAAGAUAUUGUCUGAAGGCCCAGUUCUGUUCGGCCCAAAUAAGAUAUCCAAGUAAGGCGGUUCUGUUCGGCCCGGCCCAUUAUUAAUGGGCAGACAGUUGAAGCCCAAAACGAAACAACGUUUGAUGAUGAUGAUGAUGUGUCUCUGAGUUGGUAAUUAAUGAACUAAUUAUUACAAAUAAAUUUAGUCAAAAAUCACAAGAAAGAUAAUUGUUUUGUUGUUGGUAACAUAAUUCAUUACAAUAAUCUCUACCGUUAAAGCAUAUAUCGUAUCUUCUUCUUACUGAACAACAGUUGUCCCUUUUUAAUUAGGUAAACCCACUGACAUAAGAAUCAACCAACCCUUUGACACAAGUGACAAGACUAUUUAUAUACUAAUAAUUAUCUUUGCUCCUGCUCGAUCGAAAUGUGUGUGUCUCUUUCUUUUUUUUCUUCCUUCUCCAAAUUUAUUUAUUUAGUUAAUACGUCUGAAUAUUUAAUUAAUUAUUAAUAUAAAUAGAGACAUGCAUGAGAUAAUUUAUUUAAUUGCAUGCAGAUCAUAAAAGAGAGGGGUUGGUUAGUUUAAUUUGUACAAGGAGAUGGAGGAUUCAUGUGGAGGAUAUGCAGAUAUGAUGGUACACUCUUCAACUACACCUAUUCUCCACAACACCAUGGAUCAACCCUUUGAAUUUUUGUGCCUAAUCUCUUUUUAUCUAUUUAUUCCUUUAUUAUUAUAUUCAUUCAUUUUUUUUCUUAGAGGGGAAAUUAAAUAAUAUUUUUUAAAGAAUGAAAUCCUCUACCAUGCUGAAAUGUUUGAUCAUUUAUAAAUAUUAUUAAUUAUAUUAUUGAAUCAUGGAAUGGAACUAGUACUUACGUUAAGAUUAAACUAGAGCCAUCUAUCUCAUUCCGGUUUAAUCAUCUUGAUAAUCUUUUGAUUUUUGUCAUCUCUGCCUCUUUAUUCGACACUAAAAUAGAAUAAAGUGAAAUAUAAAUUGAUGUUUUAAUAAAAAAGAAACAGAGGAUAAUAUUAUGAACGCGGCUGUUGAGUAAUAUCAAAUAUGGAAGCUUUAUCAAGAAACAAGGUUACUUUGAUGAUAAAACAACUGUGUACAUAUAUUUCAAGGAAUCAGCCAACUCGAGUGGUGUUAAUAAUUGAACCUAUUGUUUGUCAAUUUAGAGAAUGGGGGGUGUUCGGGGACCUCAUCUUGUAUGAGGACAUAAAAUUCCUCAUUGGCAUCUGCAUAUAUACAUAUAAGCUGAAUAGAGUACAUACAUACACUGAUUUAAAAAAAAAAAGCUGAUCGAAUGAGUCAAAAGGUAAUUAUAUUCUGUCUUUUGAGCUGAAUGGGAAGAUAAAAGCUGCGAUUGUGAUUGUGAUAUGGUGAUGGAGAUUCAUAUAGUUUCGAUUAACACUCACACAGCUGCAAUAAAGGUACUAAUGAAUUAAAAAGGCGUGUAUGUGUGGAUAGAACAUCCCCUCUUUGUCUCUAUUUACCUCAACUUUUCUUUUGUACCCAUCACUGGAUUCCCUUUAUUUAUUGCCAAUCAUCUUCAUUCAUCAUCAUCGUUUGAACGAAACUUGUCAGUUUUAUUUAAGGUCUAAUAAGCUAUCAAGUUAUCUCUGUGCUAUCUUUUAUUACUUUAAAACUUCCUUACUUGAUUGUAAUAAUUCUUUUCAUGUGAUGAGAUGAGAUGGAAUGUGGAAUAUCUCUAACUGUAGGUGAUAUAUUCUCUCUCUCAUUAUAUUUUCUCCCACUAAAAUCAAUUUCCAAAGCAAUCACCUGCCAGUUAUUCACUCACCCUUUUUAAACCCUUGAUCCAUCCAUCUACACGCACAAAUUCUCAACAACUUGAUCAUGGUAGCCACUACGGCAGAUUAUGAUGAAAACUCACACGAUGGCCUAGAGUUCUGGCAGUUCAUGAUUGCAGGGUCUAUUGCUGGAUCAGUAGAACACAUGGCCAUGUUCCCAGUCGACACUCUCAAGACUCGCAUGCAAGCCAUUACUUCUUCAUUCAAAACCCCAUCAUUAAAUCUCAGGCAAUCCCUCGGCUCAAUUUUGAAACUAGAAGGCCUUGGUGGGCUGUAUCGUGGAAUUGCAGCAAUGGGACUAGGUGCUGGCCCUGCACAUGCAGUCUACUUCUCGGUAUAUGAAUCUUGUAAGAAAUCUCUACCAAACAAUCCGAUUGCUCACGCAGCUUCAGGGGUGUUAGCUACUGUUGCCAGCGAUGCGGUUAUAACACCAAUGGACCUAGUCAAGCAAAGGCUGCAGUUAAAGGGAAGUCCAUAUAAGGGAGUGGUGGAUUGUGUGAGGAGGGUAUUGGUUGAAGAGGGAUUUGGGGCCUUUUACGCGAGCUAUAGAACAACUGUUGUGAUGAAUGCGCCUUUUACUGCAGUUCACUUUGCUACUUACGAGGCUGCAAAGAGGGGGCUGACGGACAGUGAUGAGACUUUGUUGGUGCAUGCAACUGCUGGAGCUGCUGCUGGGGCGUUAGCUGCAGCCAUAACCACUCCCCUGGAUGUUGUCAAAACUCAGUUGCAGUGCCAGGUAAUCAAAUUUUAUCGUUUUUCUUUCGUUCUAUUCAUUGUUUUAAGGUUUGAUUUCAUGUCUUGUUGAUUAUUUUUAUUAUUGGAGAUCAAAGAUAUAUAUGGAUUGGCAUUGCAGGGUGUGUGUGGGUGUGAUCGAUAUUCGAGUAGUUCGAUGGUGGAGGUGGUUCAGACAAUAAAGAAAAGGGAUGGGUAUGGUGGGCUGAUACGAGGCUGGAUUCCAAGAAUGUUGUUCCAUGCGCCAGCUGCUGCAAUAUGCUGGUCUACAUAUGAAGCUGUCAAAAGCUUUUUCUAACUACUCAAAACUACUGUUCAAUUUGGUCUAUUCCUCACUUCAGCUGGAAAAGGACCAAAACAAGAUGUUUAACAUCAAAUUAAAACUAAUACACCUGAAUACAUAGUACAUAUGAAUGGAUGCCUGUAUAUAAUAAUAUAAAUUGUUGUAUGCAAUAUAUGUAGUAAUAUAAUAAGAAUGCCAUGUUUUGAAGCUUUGAUGGAUUUGGGGUCUGUCUGUUUUAAUGUGUCCUUGGCAAUUGGCAUCUCUAUCUUUUGUUGUUCAUGGAUAUUAUCUACGAAAUAAAAUUUUCUAAUCUUUCAUUAAAAAAGAGCACCAGUGGUCUAGUGGUAGAAUAGUACCCUGCCACGGUACAGACCCGGGUUCGAUUCCCGGCUGGUGCAUAUCUUUUUUGUAUUUUUGCCUCUGCCACACAGUUAGUUGAUAUUUGAUAACAGCAAACGAUAGAUAGAUAGAUUUAGUUGAUAUUUGAUAACAGCAAACGAUAGAUGGAUAGAUUACAGUAACAAACGACAGUAGUACGUAGUACGUAUAGCUAGAACUUGUCGACAGUGAUCCCAUCUCGAAGAAGCUCAUAUGCAUCUCUGCUUCUGGAUUUCCUCAUACCGGCAGUUACAUGUAUCUUUGUUUCAUCACAUGAAAUACAAGACACCUUUAUCCACACAAUCAUCUUUGUCUUAAUUCCAUCUAUAUCCCAUAGCUUACCUUUCUCUAGAUAACCAUUUACAACUGUUGAGAAACGCAACACCGACUGGUCUUUGUACCCCACUUCACACACCUUUGGAAUGUGCACUGUCAGCUUUCUCGUUUCCUCAUCGAACUCGUAAUUUGUCGCAUCACGCGGGAAUAUACCUACUGCCAGCUCAUACUCCUUGAGAAGUUCUGUUAAUGGCUUCUGAACUUUUCCUGAGGAAUAAUACUACUUGUAAUAUUAGAUCAAUCAUCGAUCAUCAUCAAAGUAUAUGUAUAUAUAUAUAUAUAUAUAUAUACAACAAGAAAAAGAAGAAGACUCGCCUUUUAUCUUGUUAACCAACCAUGUUGCUCCCCCUUCGAUGCUGGUUGAUAAGGACUAAUUAUAACAAACACCAAGGACAAUAUAUAUCAGCAUUCUAAUAAUAGCGUAGGAACCUCUGCGAAAUUCUUUUGGUAUUGAUUCAUAUAAUGCACGUAUAAACCAUAUCUAAAAUUAAGAUUCUAAAAUAGAAUUGAGAGAUUUGCUAAUGUUAGAAUGCAAAUAACCUAAAUUCCAGAAAAAAAAAAAAAAAAAAAAAAAACUCGCUCGUUUGUUCUUACAUUGAUUUCGUUGGCGACGGAGGCAACCUCCUUGUUGGUUUGUUGGCCCAACCAAUAAGAACCGACCUUGCUGAAUACUUGAUCCAUUAACAAUACAACAAGACAACCGCUCGCGCAAAUACCUUAAUUAUUAUAAUCUCUCUCUUCCCUGAUUUCUUUCUUUCAGAAUGCAUGCAGAGAGAGAAAGAGAAAGGUCUUGUUUGUUCUUCCCUACUUUUCAGCACGACAUAUCAUAUAUGCACUCCUCUUCUUUCUCAUUAUUCUUGCUAUUUGCGGCCUCUAUUAAUUUGUUAUUUUAGCUCUCCUUGAUUAUAAAUCAUAUUAAUUAGACUUUUAAUUAGCAGUUAAUUCCUAUAUAUUCCAUUUUCUGUUGUCUUAUCCAUCGGAUUUGUGAAUGAUAGAUAGCAAAUGAAGUAUAUAAGACAUGACUUUAUUUAAAUAAUCCACAAUAUAUAAUUUUCAUUUUUUAGUUAAUGGACUAAUCAAUUAUUUAUAUAUAAAAAGUUGUAGGAUUACAUUCCAUCAUAGUAUAGUAUUGAAAAUAAAUCAUUUCGAAAUGUUGUAGCUAGGUAAUUUAUUCUUGAUCAAGUUAAAUUUAAUUACAGAUUAAAAAAUAUUAUAGAUAUAUAUAUCGUCCUCUAGGGUGAAAAUAUUGUGGUAGGAAUCUUAUAUCCGUAAGUUACUAGAUCCUAUUUUAGGGUUUGUUCUGGAUCAACACAUGAAUUUUGAUCGAUCACAACUACCACUCUAUCUCCUUCCUUGUUUACAAAUUCAUAAUCCCGGUGUUUGUGUCUAAAAACUCACUAAUUAUAAUUGAAAAUGUGUAACUGUAAGUCCAUUCCAUUAAUCAUGCAUGAUCGCCAGAUUGCUACUAAAUUGACAUAUAUAGAUGAUCAAAAAACAAAUCAGCAUUAUAUUCCAGAAAGAUAAUACAAGUCAGUCAGUCAGUAAGUCAAAUGAGAUUUACAGAAUGCUCUUCCCCUGGUAAAUGGUAAUAGCAAACAACACAUUACUACUACAUCACACACACACACACACACACACACACAAACAGUAUAUAUGUUGGGGUUCUAUAUAUAUAUUAUACAAAAACAAAAUUACAAAUAUUAACAUUCCCUAAUUAUGCAAAAAUGGUACAGAUUAAUUUACAUGCAUAAUAUAUAUUAUGCUCACCGCAUACAAUAUUACGGAAUUACUCAUCCGAAUCAAACGGAUUCCUCGAUCGGGAAUAUUUGUAAAAGAAAAAAAAUAGAAUUUAUUAUUCAUCACCCUGAUCGAGGCUCCUGAGGUCAAGUCCUAACAGCAAGAGGAGGCUGAGCAACGGCGGUGGUGGUGAAGAAAGAGAGGAAGCCAGAAACGCCUCCCUGAGGCUCCUGAUCAUCAAGGAAAAGAUCUUCGGGAGCCCUAAAAGCACCGUGCAAGCAAACAAUGCCUACGCCAACCAUGAGGGCGGAGACUAGUACAGAUCCGACGCUGGUGAGGAAUAUGACAACAACGGUUAAGAAGAUUAAGAAGAGGAGGGUCUCGCGAUCCGAGAAUUGGCGUCCGAAGGCGGUGAUUGGAGGAUCAGACGACUGCCGAAAGAGGUAGAGGAAUAUCCACGCGGCGAGCAGGCCAGUAAGGAGGAUUAGGGAUAUCGGAUUCGUUAAAAGGGACACGGCGACGACGGCGGUGAUGGCGACGAGGUAAUUGAUGCGAAAAUAGUUAUAGUUCUUGCGGAAACGGAGGCUAGCUUCCGAUAGGGAUUCGGGCUUGGAGAAGGCGGAACGGUCGAGGAGCUCUGGCCAGGGGCGGCGGCUAGCGAGGCCGGAGCCCACAGUGUCGGAGAUGUUGGACAGAAAAGCGCGGACGGGCGAGGUGGAGGAGGAGGAGGACAAUUGUUGGUUAUCGGAGGCAGCGGGAGUAGAUUGAGGGUUGGAGAUUGGGAGGAUUGCAGGGGAGGAGCUUGCUGCCAUUUUUAGGUGAUUGAAUGUAAAUAUCGGCAAAUUUGCAAGGAGGAAAUUUAUUUAUAGGGAACGUUUGAGAUAUCAUAUGGCGUUCAUGAAAUUGUGUCGGUGGAUCAUGUGAACUGUGGAGCUCCCGAUUAAGCCGAAUUAUUAUUUGUUUAUUUCCUUUUUGGUAACUAGACUCUAAGCUAUGGAUGCAAAUUGGAUCGGAAUUUUUUUAAUCUCCAAUUUGAAUCUAUUAAUUUUAGGAAUUAUCGGAAAUAAAUUUUCUAUUUUUUUUCAAAACUUAAAAAUGGGUUCCAUUUUCUAUUUAAAGAAAAUCAGAAUUCAAAAAUGCAUUCCAAUUUCUAAUACGAUUUUAAUUUCUGACAGUUCCGAAUUCCGUCAUUUUUCGAUCACAAAAUUUUCAAAUUCUUAACAAAUUACAGAAAAAAGGUUACACUUUCCUUCGACCUUUCAUGACUUUAUAAUAAUGCAUAACUUGGCCAACAAAGUUUUUUUGGGGGAAAAAAAAAGAGAGGACUGCUUUGAAGAUUGAUAAUGCAGCAGGUAUGGUUUCAAUCCCCUCUCAAAACAAUAGCAGAAGCAAAGCACCUUUUUCCGACGGCACUUAAGUUUGUUGCUUCCCAUCCUCGACCUUCCUUAUAACAUUCGAUCUGUCACAAAUAGACUUUCAGACAACAAAUAUAUACUUUACCAAAUAAAUUUUAGAAAGAAAAAAAACCCACUAAUGGUGGGGGUGUGUGUGACAGAGCCCGUGAGAGAGAGAUGAUUGACUAACCUGGUCGACAAUUUCCUCGUCAGUUUGAAUCCCACCAAUGACAUAAAUGGAAUCACCAAGAACAGCAGCAGCUGAAUAUCCCCUUCCUUGAUUCAUAGGCUCCGCACUCAUCCAUGUCCCAAGACGAGUAUCAUAUAUCUCAACACACGGAGCCAUUGUUAUUCCAUCGUAACCACCUAUUGCAUACCUAGACAAUUUCCCAUCUUAUCUCGUAAUUACAACAAUUCCAUUCAAUUCACAUGGAAUGGGACACUCUUUCAUCCGAUGAAUAUUCAAAAAACAGAGAUUGGGAAAUAAACUUACAACUUUUCAUUCAUUACCACCAGUGAGUGGCAGCCUCUACUCGCAUUCAUACUCCCAAUUCUUGUCCAUGAAUUUUCUCUAGGGUCAAACCUUUCAGCAGUCCUGCACAAACCCAAAGAAAGCCACUUGUGAGAUGCCAUGCCGGACCUUCUUUCAAAUUUUCCAAAAAAAUGCUAAUUUCAAACAGGUUUCGCAACUUACGUCAAGUACUCAUUUCCAUCAUAUCCACCAACAGCGUAGAGGGCACCAUUGAGCUCCACAGCAGCAAGAGCAAACCGCUUUAAAACAAAGAUCAAUAUUAACUAACAACAACGAAUAUUAAUAUUGAUCUUUAUCAAUAAAUACCCAUUCAUUUACCAUCUCAUGAAUUAUAAUUCAUUAAACACCAAAAUCAAUUGUCAGUGAUGGUAGACUACCUUUUGCAACAUUGAGCGUGCACAAAUCCAUCGCCCAACAUAUGGAUCAAACAUUUCUACAUCCGAGAAGCAUUCAGUCCCAUUUCCACCACCAAGUGCGAAAAUUUUACCAUUUAAAGCAGCACCAGCUAAGCUGCCCUUUUCUUUGUUCAUGGAAGGACGAAGGGUCCAUUCGUUGUUUCCAGCAUUAUAAGACUCAACUUCAUAUAAACAAAAUACAGGUGUCAAUAAGUAGGAAGAUCAAGAGGGAGAGAGAAAGACGUGCAUGCAUAAUGAACUGAUAGGGGCACAAAAAUACCUGUAUCAUACCACAUCAUAGAACCAGAUCCACCACCAAAUACAUAAAGUUCUUCAUUACAUCUGGCAACUGAGGCAUAUGAUCGAAUAUAAGACAUUGGCUUAAGAGACCUUAAGACAUCAUGUGAAGGUAAGAAGGAAUGCAAUGCUGAUGACCACGCAACACCAUCAUAUCCGCCAACUAUUAAGAUGGACUCAUCAAGAUUCAGGUACAAUUCAUCAGUGGACUCAAUCGGUGCCUCGUCGCCAGAGAGUCUCAUGGAAGUAUUCAAUGUCGACUCCAAUUUCAUACUUCUAUUCUCCAGCCGAUGAAUUUCUUGUUCUGCCUCAGCCUGAAAUGUGAUGUGGACUUACAUUGGGAAUAUAGGACUAAUAAAAACCACUACCAACUCAUUAACUAUCACAGGCAUGCACUCACUGGCAAAAGGGAGCAAAAUAUUGCUUCUUCAGUGAUGGAUAGUAACAGCCCAAACAGGUAUGUUUGCACCACAAUGAAACAGGAACCGGAUUUUCACAAUAACAUAAAUAAAUAACCAAUUAUUACCAUGCAAAAGAGAUUUCACCACUAAGUGCAUUGUGCUGAGGGAAAGCAAAAGCUGGUUCAGAAUUUUAUAUAAUACUUCAGUUCGACAAAUCCAACUUCAAUUUAAAGUCCCUUGCCAACAUAAAGCAAUAUUAUUUAACACAAAACCAAAAUGACUUGUUCUCUGUGCAGAGUACUCGCAAUGAAGCAACCAACUGGCAAUUUAUCAGAAAAUUUAGAUCACCACUAUCUCCUUAUCCAUUUAACAACACGUAAUGGCGCAUCAAAGGUGAGAUUGUAAACUCGAAAUUAACCAAACAAUCAGAUGAAUUUUCUCCUCUCUUUUGCUCUUUGCCAAGAGAAUGAUCUCAAUAAGAUUCGAAGGUAAUGAUUAAUGUACCCAUUAUUAUUUUUAUCUAAAUCAAUUUUAAGGACAAUUCAGAUAAUUACAAAGAUAAGCUGAACAUUAAAAUUUGUUUUGCGACCACAUCAACUUCUAAAUUGGAUGCUUAAAGUUAAUUUCUCAGGCAUUUGCAAACACCCCCAACUUUACUCGCAACAACCAACUUCUAAUUUUUCAAAAGCUUUUGCACACACCACCAAAGGCUCACUGGCUAUCAAGGAAGCUCAUGCCAAGUUUUCUGCCAUGUGAGCAGUUUUUGGCUUAUUUGAUCUAAACCAAAAUUGAAGUGCCAAAACACUAGAUAGACCAAGCUAGAGGAUUAAUGUUACUGAAGAGAACCCAAUUUUGUUCCCACUAACAUAAUGCAAUUACACAGCAGUAGACAAUCAAGUCUCUAAAUAGGUAUAUAGUUUUUUAAUCAGAACAAGAAGCAUGUCAGUUUUCUUAUCAGAUUACUAGUUCAAAUUGAUACUCUUCCCCAAGAAAGCCAAGAACUUAAACAACAAGUUAAAUGCUUUUGGAAGAUGAGGGUUGUUGAAACAGAAAAAAUACCAGCUUUUUUUCAAGACUUGCCAUCUUUUGAUUUUGCUCUUGCUUAAAAGUCUUUAGCUCUUCCAUUUCCCUGCACAACUGCAUUCAACAUAGAUAUAGGCGUUAGCUAUGUCAAAAACCACUGAAAUCUGACUGCACUAACAGUGCAAUGUGCAUGAUGAUCUUUAAAGCACGCAAAAUAACACAUGAAGGUUUAAAUUAAAUAGAAUUCAGCCAAGUUAACUAGCUUGAAUGCAGUUUUAGACUCAAGGAAUCUCAACUAACUAGUUUCAAAUAUAGACAAAGCAACUGGAUGUUGAAAAAAGUACCUGUACUAUGAUAGCAGGAUAAUCAAGUGAAUCCAAAGAACUUCCACCAUUCUUCUUCUCCAAAGUAACCAGAUCAUCAUCAUCGUGGGUUUCAUGUUUCAAGUCCAUGACACUUGUAGAUGCACCUCCUAUCCCACGCCCUAUCAUGUUUCCAUCUUUAAACUCAGAACUGAGAGCCAACUCUUUCAGUUUCAUGUAAAUAAGAUCCUUUUCAUUGCACUCUACCAUUGAGUUGGAUGUUGAUGCCUCCAUCCAUUGAUUAUUUUCACCCAAACAGAGGGUACCAUUUGCAGUGGCCGAUGUUCCAAUUGAAUCAUGAGAGUUGACAAAAUCAUCGGUCAAGAGUGGUGGCUCAGAUACUCCACUUUCUUCUCUCUUGUUGCUUGAGGGAAGCCUCUGCACUAUUGCAGUCCGCUUGGGGAGAUUUUGUGGUACAAAGGGCCUCGGGGCAACUGCUAAAGAGGAUAGCAUGGAUAUCAACUUGUUUGCUUGAGCAUGGUCCAACUCAAACCAAAAAUGGGUUUGACUGUAAUAGUUAUCUAUAAUUAUUGGCUUGAACUGAUACUCAGCAAGGACUUGGCAAUGCAUGCGGACACGUACUUGGACCUAUACGAAAAAUAAUGGAGACAAUGACGUAGCUGGUAAAGCCAUAACAACUGAUGGUAUUUCCAUAUAAUAAUACCUGAGCUGGAUACUUUGUUCUCUCUGAACCGUCUGAUGUCCAAGCAUAUGAAUCGAUAUUCAUUUUCCCUGAGCUAGCAGCUUCGUAGAUACCAUGAAGUUGUCUUCCAUUAUAGUUGAACAAAAAUAAUGGUAGACCUGGCGCAAUGUUCUUUACAUAUAAAAAGUGUUGUGCUGGCAGGCCUGUCAACAAUUCAAACAGAGAUGAGUCUCCCGAUGGAUAAGUUUUAAACCAAUUUUAUCAUGAGAUUAUGAGUUAAAGUCUUGAACAAAUUAGUGACUGUAAGACAAUAUCUACAAUUGACUCAAAUAUGACUAACCAAAUAGUUGAUUGGUGAGACAUUCUUUGAUAGUGCUUGUUGUGCAACCAAAUAUUACACCUCCAAGUUGAUUCUUAUUCAAAUUUCUUGCACACGCCAUGUUAGAUGCCAUCGACCAAGAAGGAGAAGCUUCACUCUGACGUUUGUUCUUCACAACUCCCAUUCUGACAAGGCAAUUGGAUGAACCAUGAGCCAGAUUAAAACUCCACUUGGAAUUGGAAAUUCUAAUGCAAUCAAACUAUUUUUACAUGAUGUCAUGGAAAGAUCAUUAGAUAAAUAUGCAGAUGGCAGGAGUACUUGUUGUUAUUGGGGAAGUAGAAAUGGAUGUCUUAGAAUAUGCAAAUAUUAGGAAUAUCAACAAAAACGAGAUGCUACAAACAUUAAAAAAUUUAAAUGGAAGUAAAUAAGGUACAGCCAUGACUAAUGAUUCGAAAGAAAUUUUACUCGAAACUAAACUGAUUGAAAUGCUCAACGUGGAGCAAAUUCUACUAACACAGGGGAUACUGAUGGGAGAAUACACCAGAAUAUCAACGAAAAACAGGCAUAUCCAAUAUUAACAAAAAUCUCGCUGCAUUUUAUGAUCAUCAGGAAAAUCAUGCUAACUUUAAGCUGCCUUGAACAAAUGAUAGUAUAAGUGCAGGGCAGCAUUAAAAAACAAACUAAU
rnacentral:lncRNA from 1 species